ACCAAAAUCGAAGUUUCAAGAAUCAUAAUCGUAACUGUCCAUAUAAGGGUCGGUUUCGGUUUCAUCUUUCAGAAGAAUCAAAACCGUUAGUUUUGAAAUUGGAAUCAAUAGUUCUGAAGUUGUGACCAUGGCUAUCUGGAUGGGAAUGACGUAAAUGAGCAAAAUUUUGCAACAAUGAAGAUAGCAGGAGCAAAGAAAAGGCUAGUGUGUGUUUCCAUACCUAUGUAAAAUAAACUUGAUUCUGGGAUAUUUAUAGCUUUAGGGAAAAGACGUUACAAAAAGCAUGUGAGGUUAAUCAUUGUGGUGGUCGGUUAUGCAUUUUGCACAUAUAUGACUGCAUGUAUUUGAUGUUGGAAAAAAUUGAUGUAAUUAUUUACAUUUAUAGAUGACUAAAUUUAAUUGAAAUUGGAUUUAAUUGAUAGAUGACUACAUGCCAAUGUCAAUAUUUUCUAGAAUUGAUAUUGGAAAAAGUGUUGUGCAUUUUAAUAACAUAUCAAAUUUUUAUUUAAUUUUUUUUACCUACCCCUCCUCCCCACACCCUUCCUACACUCAACUUCCAAAUCCAAGAUUUAAAUCCUGAAUUAGCACUGUCAAUGAGAUCGGGUCAACCCGAACUUAACCUGUUCAGCUUGAAAAAACUCAAUGAAUCUGAACUUUAAUUGGACUGAAUAGAGCUUGAACUUAAGUAUUAGACCCGAACUAAAUGUGAACCGAGUUUGGACCAUGUUAGGUUUAGCACGAUUAAAAUCUGACCCAUAUAUGAGUAUAACUAUAUAUGUAAAAAAUAUAUAAUAAUAGCUAUAAUUUAUAAUUAUACAUAUUACGACAUAAGAUAUUAAUAAUUUGUAUAUAAAUUUGUAUUAAUUCAUAAUUAUAAAAUAUAUGUUAUAUAUAAUUAUUUAUUUAAUUAUGAUUUUGGUUCAAAUCCACUUUGAGCCCGAAACUCAUACAGCAGUAUGAGGUGAAUUUGAGCCUUCUAAUAUUAGCCCAAAACCCGAAAGUAGACGAAUAUUGAAUAUGUGUGUUUGUGGGUGUAUAGGCAUAAUUGUUCGGGAAAGCAAAGAAAGGCCACAUUGAUCUGCUGCAUUUGCAUGUCUUGAAUCGGUUAAAAACCUAGGACCAAAAGAAAAUGGUAAAUCCACGGAUGCGAUUUUGAGAGGAUGGUAAACGAAAAUGUGGUUUAUGGUCAAAUAAGUGGUGUUAAUUGGUAGGCAAACAAAGGAAAUGGUAUGUACAACACAAAGGGUAAAUGAUAAGGAUAGAUGCUUCAGAGUUCGCGGGCAAUGAAAGAACAAGAAAACGACCAAAAGUGAAGCAGGCAUGGUUGGCAUUGAGAACCAAAAGUACAGUGCCAUUCGGUAUUGUUUGUCUAAGCCUAUUACGCCGACUGACACGAAUGUUGUGAAAAACUAUCACGCUUUAAAGACCUGAUUAUCAUAUAUUUACAAGACUUUGUUGCUCAAAUCACUUUCAAGCAAUAUUCAUGUCAGAUAAGGGUGAGCGUAAAAUUGAUUAACCGAAUUUUCGGUUGAAUUAAAUAAAAUUUGUUGAAUUGAUUUCGGUGAAUUUGAUUUCAAUUCAAUUUCAGUCGAAAUCAAUUAUAGUGAAUUCAAUUUAGGUUUCGAUUUUUUUUUUCUACAAACAAUAUUUGUGUUGUGUAUUCUUAAUUUUUUAUGCCUUAAGAUUUCUACACCCUAUAUUACAGCUUAAAACUUAUUACGAACAUAAACAUUGACCUUAGAUUAUUGACUAUUAUAUUAACACCUUUUCAAUAACCAAAAAACAAAAAAUUACAUAAGUCAAAGAAUCAUGUGUAAAACGUGGCUACAGCAUGUUUUGUCCAUGUGAAGCGUGACACGUAACGUCCAAGCUGAAAUGAAAACGUGUUAGUAGAACACUAGAAACUAUCUGGCUGUGCCCAAUUUGUUGCGUAAAAAAUAUUGAAAAAAAUUCCCUGUAACUCUCAUUUUUGAAAUUAAUAAAACACGGAAGAUCUUAAUCGUCGUCAUGUUUAUAAAAACAAACACAUAGUUAGGAUCCAUCCAUUGAACGAUCCCCUUUCAAUGAACCAUGGCAUGGAACUCAGAAGUACUUUAUCUGUGCCAGAAAUUAAUCAGUGCAUAAUCAGUUCCUAAAAUCAAAAUUUAAAUAGAAACCAAAUUAUAUCAAACAAAUUAUGAUUCAGUGCAGAUUCUACUUGUUGGACUUUAAAUUAUCAAAUAUUGGCAAUAAAGAUACGUAAACAACACCAAAACAAAACUAACUAAAUCGUAGAACAAUAGUUCAUAACUUCAUAAACACAAGAACAUGUAUUACAUAAAGAUUUAAGGGAAGUUACCCCGGGAUCUAGCAAAAGGUUGAGCUGGGGAAGGAGGCCUGUGGAAAUUCCCAGAUGGGGUUUGGUUUCUUGGUGCAGUAGGACCUGAGUCAAUCCCGAAUCCCCACCAAAAUAUAUAUUGUCGUUUUUUCAGUUGUUGAUAAGAGUCAUUAAUUAAAAGCAUAAAGAUGGGAAUGCCCUCAAUAGUGAUUUGAAGGAUAACAAAUAUGGUCAAUGUGUAAUACAAAUCUUUCAUUAAUAAUGAUGUAUCAAUACCUCAGCGUUAGAAAACAAAAAGCCGCGAUGAAAAAAAACAACUAGAGAUGAAAAAAAUACAAUUCUGCUUCUAGAGCUAUAGUCACAUAGAAAGGCAUUUUUUUUUAAAUCACCAUAUCAAAGUCAAUUAGACCAAAAUUACCCAAAAGAACUCCUUAUAUAUUGAAGAAACAGAAUGAACUGACCUGUAAGUGAGAGGACUUCUUUACAAUCUUUGCGACGUCUAACUAAAGCCCUAAUCAAAAUCAAAAGUGAAGAACAAUAACACAUGUAUAUUACUUUCUUUAUUUGUCUCCUAUUCUCAUGUAAAAGAAGUAAUCAAAAGAAAGGGAAAACGACUCUUACCAGAAGACACUGUGCAGAAGAAGCCGUCAACAAAAAGAUGGUUGUUCUAUUGGCAAAUUUUGCUUCGAACCACAGAGCUCAGAUGUGGCAAAUAAAAAUUGAAAAACUUUAUUAAGUAAAAAAAAAAUUCUAUGUUCCCCUUAUCGUUUCGUAUUUCUCCUGGCAAGUAAACCUAGGUGACAAUCUCGAGGUUGGGAAUUUGGGUGAAGUAUAAAUAAAUUAAAUCCAGGGGCCACGCAUAAUUUGGGGGACAAAAAUUGAUUUUGCAGGCAAAGGGUACAACCUAGUCUACCUAAAAGUUGGCCAUGGUUUGAUUUGCCUCAGAGGAAGAAGAAAGGAACGGGAUGGAAAAUGGAAAGACAAAGAGAGGAGAAGAACGGUGUGCGAAAGAUAAAAAACGACUCUUAACAGUUGUUGACUGUUCUAAGGUCAUGUUGCUUCUAGGGGGUCAAAAUAGUCAUUUAAAAUAUAAAGAUGGGAUUGCUCUUAACUAGGGCUGCAAACGAACCGAGCCGCUCGAGUCAAGCUCGAGCUGGCUCGAGUCGAAAUCGAGCUCAAGAUAUUAAUCUCGAGUAUAUAUAUAUAUAUAUAUAUAUAUAUAUAUAUAUAUAUAUAUAUAUUAUAUUUUUUUAUUUUAAGUAUAUAUAUAUUUUUUAUUUUUUUUUAUUUUAAGUAUAUAUAUGUUUUUAUUUUUUAUUUUAAUAGUAAAAUUACAUAUAUAUCCUUAAUAUUUUAUUAUUUAUUAAGAAAAAAUAUUAUUUUAUUUAUUUUUAAAAAAUAAAAAUAAUUAUUUUUUAUUUUUUCGAGCUCGAGCUUGAAAUUGUUGGCUCGUCAAGCUCGAGCUCAAGUUCGAGUUCACUAAAAUUAUGUCAAGACUCGGUUCGAUUAGGUCAAAACUCGACUCGGCUCGGCUCGUUUGCAGCCCUACUCUCAAUAGUGCUAGACUAUUCUUGUCAAAAGUCAAAUAAGUGAGGACAUUGUUGGGAGAAAACAUGUUUCACAGUUCCUUCUAGCCCCAAACCGCGCCACAUGGCCAAUUAUGACAGUAGAAUUCUUGUGUUUUUCUAUACGUGUAAGAUAAGACAAGAAGGAACUAGCCGGUGCAAGCACGGUCUAGGCCUAUCUAUAAAACUAUGGCUAAAUUUAUUACACUAUAAUUUGCUUUCAAAUAAAAAGAAAUUAUAAUUUUUAAAAAAUGAGCCUAAAAAAGUUUAUCUUUAGUGGGAUGUUCCAAAAGUUUGCUCCAACUUGCUUAUUGUGAUGCAAUAGAGAUAUAUACUAUAUUGUAUGGAUAAACAACAAUAAAGAAUUCAAAAACCAAGCACAUGAGAAAUGCAAAACCAGUUCAAUAAUAACAUAAAUGAUUUUUGCUUCAUAAAACUCAAGUAUCAUGCUAUUGUAAUUACAAAUGCAUAAGAUUUCACCACUAUUUCUUUUUCAAACAAGACACCAUCAUGUAAAAACUUCUAUCUUACAAAUUCACAAUAAAACUUGCAAGAAAGUUGAAUGGAAGGCUUUUCAAUGCAUAAAAAGGGUACAAAAAUUUAGUACCAAAGAAUUAGUAAAGGAAAUGCAAGAUUUAAUUAUGCAUUAAAAAGGAACUAAAACAUCAGAAUUGCAAAAAAUAAAUUUUGCAUUUAGAUUUAAGACAAACCGAACAAAAGGAAAAUCAAUUUGCAAAACCAAAACAAUGAAAGGCUUAAUGAAUAUCAAGGAGAUCAAGCCAAAAUAAAUACACCAAGGCAACAGAAUAAAGAGGCAAAAAAAAAAAGAAAAAUGAUAAAUGCUAAAUAAAAUACAGUUAAUAAAAAAAAGUUAAUAAAUACAGUUAAUAAAAAGAAAGUUAAGUCCAUAUUUGACAGUGUGAAAUAAGGGACGAAUAGGAAUAAAAAGAAAAUGGAAUAUAUCAAACAGUAGGAAUAGUGGAGGUAAAAGGUGUAUUGUCAAUAUUUCUCCUUAAAAAAAAAGAUGAUCAUGAUUUUUGAAUAGUGGAAUAAAAGAAAUAUCCAUUCCCGUGCAAGAAAAGCAUACAUUCAAUUAAUUAUAGAGGAAAAAGGAAAAAAUGCAUUGAUUGAGCGGAAUGAGGAAAGGCAGAGAAAAAUUAGGAUGAAGGAAAAAAAUAAAAGAAAAAGCAAAAUACUGGAUUAAAGAGUUAAAAUUGAUGGAAUAGGAUGUGACAGUAUAAAUCAGUUGAUUGUUGCGACAUCUCUCCAUGGUCAACAAUAAUCAUCUAAAAAAUAGUAAAAAAAUAAUCUUACUAUAAUUAAUUAUAAAGAAAAAAAUUUGUAGGGGGAAAAAGAAAGAUGGAAAAAAAAGAGGGAGAUGAAGGUUAAAAGCAGAGGCAGAAAGAGGAAGAAAAGAAGAAUUGGGAGGAGAGAUAUUUAUGACUUUUGACUAACCGAAAAAAAAAUAGUGGAACAAAAAUUCAACUACAAAUAGAAAUUGACACUCGUCAAAAUAAAAGGCUAUACCCUUGGCAAGAAAAAAGGUUGCUACUGUAACCUCUCUUUCUUUUUAUAUACAAGGUAGAUAAUGCAGAGGAGGCCAGCCCAUAGACCCACAUGUUCUCGGUCAAGUGAAAGGCAAAUCUCAGUAACAAUGAAAUUUAUGGUAAGAAGAAAAUUCGUUGACUUUAAAAAUCUUGAGGGAUCAAGUCCCUGUAUCCUCAAAAAACAUAUUUGAUCCCUCUUAGGUAGAUACAAUCUAUGCAGACGAUAUGGUCCAAAUUUUGUUACAUCAUCUCAUCAACUCAAAAUAAUUGAAGGUGCAAUAAAAUUUGAUCCACAUAAUUUACAAGACCAAGUCUACCUAAGUUUUUGCCCAAAAGAAAAUGAGCAAUGGGGCCGAGCUAAUAAAAUAAUCGAAGCUUGAAAAGAAAGUGCGAAGAUGGCAUAAAACAUCAAAGGAAGUGGGGGCAUGAAGACAAAUUCAGUUUUGACAAAGCAGGGUCCGAGGCAUGUUUUCAAACUCGGACCAGAUCGAUAGGUUUGACCGGUCGAAUUGUGAACUAGUCAGGCAUUUAGUCCGAGUCUUCGUCAAAAGCUAGUCAAAACUCGAGUUUGACAAAAAACCAAUAAAAUCGGUGAGAACCCGAUUUUUUCCUUUUCUAUUCUGAUGGCUUUUCUUUUUCAUUUUUUCCUUUGACUCCUUGACCGUAUGGAUAGUUUCAUAUCUAUGUAACUUUCCAAUAAAAAAAAUUGGGUUUAUUUUGAUAAAACUGGUGAGAACCCAAUUUUUUCCUUUUCUAUUCUGAUGGCUUUUCUUUUUCAUUUUUUCCUUUGACUCUUUGAUCGUAUGGAUAGUUUCAUAUCUAUGUAACUUUCUAAUUCACUUGGACAGUUGACUUGGCUUUAAAUCUUUAAUGUGGCCGAACAUUUUUCUCUUGAUUGUGGCAUGAUUUACGCCAUGGCCAGACAUCAUUUUCUUCUUAACUCUGCAAUCAUUUAUAGAAUAUGGAGGAAAAUAAGGAGAGCUCUUGCGCUUUGCUUGAAUCUGAGAUCAAUUCAUAGCUUACACAAAUUGUUCUUUUUAUUAAAUCUGAAAUGUUUUAUUAAGAACCCAAAUUAAGAGAAAAAUUCCAUUCUCUAAAUUCUUUAAGUUCUUGAAAGAUUUCAUAUUAAAUUGGAAAAAUAGAGAAAAGAAAAGAGAAGAGAGAGGAGGGGAAAAGAAAAUAAUGAAGAAAAGAGAAAGUUUUCGUGUUUGCUUAUUGUUUGUGAUGAAAGAAAAAAGAGCCCCGGUGUACAGAAAGAAGAAGAAAAAAGAAGAUUAAGAGAGAUAAAGAAAUUAGGAGGUGGAGGAACUGACGGUCAAAAAGAAAAAGGAACAAGAUGGAUUAGGUUUGACAUUUUUUAGCAUUGAUGAAUACCCUAAAAGCUUAUGUUAAUCGCAUUUUGGCCAUUCAUUAUUUCAACAAAGUGUAAAAUAACCUAAUAUAUUUUUCAAGUUACAUUUUUACCUAAAAUUUUUUAAAUUGAAUCCUUUUGGACUGAAUCUAAACUUAUCAAAUAUGUAAUGAAGUUGUAAACCACUAAAUUAAGGAUAAAUUUUAUAUAUUAUUUUGAUUAUAAUAUUAAUAUAUAUUUAUGACAUAUUUAUAACGCAUUAGAAUUAACCCCAGAUCUAAUCGGUUGAACCCGUCAACCCUUGAUCCCUAGAUUCGACCGAGUUGCUAUCCGAUCUAAGUUUCAAAACAUAGAUUCAGGGACGUAAAUUAAAGAACUGAAGUGCAAUUUUUUUGGGGCCGUUAUUUGGUUGGUAAUAUAUAGUGUGUUUAGAUAGGAAAAUUAUUUUAAAUAAUAUUUUACUUGCAUCACGAAUAUAAUUUUAAUCAAUUUUUUUAUCUUUUCAAUCGUCUUUUAUUUUAUAUACAAUAUAUUUUUUAAAAAAAUUACAGUAGUUAUUUCAAACAAUCUCUUAUCUUAAUACACUCAUAUUAAUAAUGCCUAGGGGGUGUACGAAUGCAAUACUUGUUUUAAAUAUAAAAUAGAUUUUAGUUGGUUUUGCUAAGAACAAACAUGCCUUAUAUAGUUAGGAAAAGAAAUGGCAUUAACUUGUAAACUAAUUUCUCAUGUUAAAAGAUCGCAGAUGGAAAAAUCAAAGAAGUAUUUGCUAAAGGCUGAUGUUUUUUUUUUUUGAAGCUUAAAUGACUGAUGCAUUUGUCUAACCAUUAUGGGAAAAAUUACGAAAAUGACAAUUUAGCACAAAACUCAUGCAUACCAAUGGCUUCAUGGAAGAAGAUAAACUUUUUUCAAAACAUCAAGGCUCAAAUUUGUACAACACACUAAACAGGAUAACUAAUUGAAAGUUCAAAUAUUAGGUUCUAAAUCUCCAAAUUUGUUUUUAUUUAUGUGGCCUAAAAAUAAUACACAUUAGUUGAUUGUAAAUAUACAACCCAGCAUCAUAUUUGUGAAAGCAAGAAUGCAAUGCUUGUUAAAACACAUAGAGGCUCAAGUAUUAGAAUGUUAGUAGAUGGAGUUAAGGAAGUUUCCAAGUAGGAUAUUGCCAUGCAGAGACAUGCAUAAUACAUGAAAAAGGGAGGAUCAGAAGAUUUAUAAUAUCUUAAUUUUAUUAAAACCGAAUUGUACCUUCACUUGGUUUAAUAAAUAUUACAACUAUCCUAACUAAUAUUAAGCAUAAACUUGAAAUGUUUCACAUAUUCCUAACUAAAAAUGGUACUAUAUGUUUCAAUUUACUAAAUCAUUAAUAUAGAUGUCAUUAAUUGAUUGGGAAUAAAUUACUGUCAUGUUAUGAAACGACUAAAUGAGAUGGAUGUCCAUUUGUAUUCCCAAAAGGACUAAUUCAUGAUUCAUUACUACAUUAUGUAAAGAAGUUACAUGGGAUGAAUCGUUUCAAUUCAUAGACCUAUUCAUGUAUUGGAUGAACCGUUUGAUUCGACUAUUCAUGUUCUUGUAGUAAUGAGUGUUUAAUAGGAUUGAUGCACCUUUAAUUUUGUAGUACCUGUAUAUAGAGGUACCUUGACACGUCUUUGAAUGACUUUUGGGUUAGUUGGAAUAAUAAGAAAAUCAUUCUCUAUUUCACUACUUCUUUCUCUAAUAUUUCAAUUCAUAUUAUAGCAGUUUAUUUUAUUAGUUUUACAACAUGUUAUCAGCACGAGUCUCUACUUUUGAACAAAAGGUGAAAACAUAGUCUCUACCCUAAGUAAAAGUGAAACACGAGAUUCUACCGAAAUUCUGGCUGUAUUUCUUCGAGCAACUUAUGUCUAUCUAUUGAGGUAAAUUUCUAACCCACAAACUUAUUUUAAUUUCUUAUGGCCAACCUUACAAAAUAAGAGUUCGUACCUCUUGAUAUUUCUGAAAAAUGUUAUUUAUCAUGGGUAUUGGAUGUUGAAAUUCAUCUUGAGGCAAUGGGUCUUGAUAAUACUAUUACUGAAAAGAAUGAAUUCUCAAACUAAGACUGUGCCACGGUUAUGAUUUUUCUUCGUUAUCAUUUAGUUGAAAGAUUAAAAAUAGAGUAUCUUACUAUCAAAGAUCCUCUUAUCCUUUGGAAAGAUUUGAAAGAAAGAUUCGACCACCUGAAGUUGGUCGUUCUUCCAAAAGUCCGAUAUGAUUGGCCUCACUUACGACUACAAGGUUUCAAAUCUAUCAACGAAUAUAAUUCGACCAUAUUCAGAAUCAAUUCUUAAUUAUCAUUAUGUGAUAAAAAAAUCACUGAUGAAGAUAAGUUAGAAAAAAUAUUUUUCACUUUUCAUGUAUCUAACAUGCUCCUGCAGUAGCAAUAUCGAGAGAAGAGAUUUAAAAAAUAUUCUGAACUUAUUACAUGUCUUCUCUUAGCUGAACAAAAUAAUGAAUUAUUGCUGAAAAAUCAUGAGUCCCGACCAACUGGUGCCAGUCCAUUCCCUGAAGCGAAUGCGACUCAAUUUCAAAAUUUUGGUUGAGGUCGUGAAUGUGGUCGUAAAGGAGGCCGUGGACGCGAUUGUAGUAAAUUUGUGCCUCGUAAAAAUUAUAACCAUGACAAACAAUAAAAUAUUUCCCAAAAAUGGGAUAAUAACUAUGAUCAGAAAAAUGGAGGAAAGAAAGUUUAUGAAUAAAAAUGCUACCGGUGUGGUAUGGAAGGUCAUUGAUCCCGUAACUGUCAUACGGCUGAUCAUCUUGUUGACAUCUAUCAAGCAUUAUUGAAAAAGAAAGACAAAGGUGUUGAGACAAAUUUUAUUGAUAAAAAAAAUGAUUAUAAUGAUGGUGAUGAUGCUGAUAUGACACACUUCGACAUAACAUAUUUCUUUGAGCAUCCUAAAGAUGUCAAAUAAUUAUGUAACAAAUAUCCUAUGAUUGUUUAGAUAUUUUAUGAUACUUUAUGUAAUUUUCUUUCUAUUCAAUAUCUAUUUUCGCGUCUUCUAUUACUAUUUAUUUUUGUUUGAAACUCUCUUCUUGAAGAAGAAAUGGAUGUCAAAUAUUUGGAAUUAAAUAAUGAUGAUGAUGAUGUUUGCCUCAUUGAUAAUGCUAUUACGUACACUAUAUUAAAAAAUAAAAGUAUUUUUCUUAUUUGAAAAUGAAAGAGAUAAAUGUUAAAACAAUCAGUGAUAGUGCAAAAUUAAUUGAAAGUUCCGAAAGUGCCACUCUAUUUCUCCUUGAAGGGACUAAAAUUGUCAUAAAUAAUGCACUACUCUCUCUCAAGUUUCAGAGAAAUUUAUUGAAUUUUAAAGAUAUCCGCGAAAAUGGAUAUCAUAUCGAGACAAUGAUUGAGACAAAUAUUGAAUUUUUAUUAAUCACAAGUAUCAUUUCUCGGCAAAAAAGUGUAAUAGAAAAAUUAUCUUCUUUUUCUUCUGGCUUUUAUUAUGUACAAAUUAGUGCAGUUGAAAUUCAUCACCUAGUAGACCAGAAGUCUACUUAUCCCAAUGAUUUUAUGGUUUGGCAUGAUUGUUUUAGACAUCUUGGAUCUAUAAUGAUGAGACGAAUAAUCGAGAAUUCACAUGGUCACUCAUUGAAAAAUCAAAAGAUAUUAAAAGUCAAUGAAUUCUCUUGUGUUGCUUGUUCUCAAAGAAAAUUAAUUAUUAAACCAUCAACAGUUAAAGUUGGGACCAAAUCCCUUAUAUUUCUACAAUGAAUUCAUGGUGAUAUAUGUAGUCCUGUAGAUCCACUAUAUGGACCAUUUCGAUAGUUUAUGAUGCUAAUUGAUGCAUUAACUAAAUAGUCACAUGUAUGUUUAUUAUCUACUCGCAACCGGACGUUUGCGAGAUUACUUGCUCAAAUAAUUAAGUUGUGAGUACAAUUUCCAGAUUAUCCAAUAAAGAGAAUUCAUUUAGAUAAUAUUGGUGAAUAUUCGUCACAUGUUUUGACAAUUAUUGCAUGUCCAUUGGAAUAACUGUCGAAUAACCUAUAACUUAUGUUCACACACAAAAUGGUCUCGUCGAAUCAUUUAUUAAACAGUUACAAUUAAUUACUAGACCAUUGUUGAUGAGAUCUAAAUUUUCUUCAUCUGCUUGGGGACAUGCUAUAUUACAUGUAGCAAUACUUGUGAGAAUUAGGCCGACAAGUUAUCAUACUUAUUCUUCCCUACAAUUAACUUUUGGUUAUGAGUCCAAUAUUUCUCAUUUAUAAAUAUUUGGUUGUGUGGUUUAUGUUCCAAUUGCACCGCUCCAACGUAAUAAAUUGGACCCCCAAAGAAGAUUGGGGAUAUAUAUAGGGUAUGAAUCACCUUCAAUUAUUAAGUAUAUUGAGCCAUUGACCAGUGAUUUAUUUACUACGAGAUUUGCGGAUUAUUAUUUUUAUGAAUCAUAUUUCCCGACAUUAGGGGGAGGUAAAGACCAAUCGAAAAAGGAAAUCACUUGAAAAAUAUCUUUGAAUUUCUUUGAUUACUAAAGAAUGUGAACUAGAAGUUCUAAAGAUUAUACAUUUGCAAAAAAUUACAAAUCAAUUACCGGAUGCAUUUAAUGACUCUAGAAGAGUUACUAAAUCACAUAUUCCUGCUGAAAAUACUCCGAUUAAAAUUAAUAUCCCUGAAGGAUAAAUUACAAGUGCUAAUGAGUCUAAAGCGCCCCUGAAACAUGGGAGAUUUCUUGGUUCUAAAGAUAAAAAUUCUCGAAAGAAAGGAGGAGUAGAUGAAUCAGCAAUUAGUGACAAAAUUCAAUCUCUUGAAAAGUCGCUCCUAAAGAGCCAACUCUUGAAGAGAAUGAAAUUAUAGAAAAUUCAAUAAAUUUUGUCACUACAAGAAAAGGUUGGAACCGAAGAGAAAUAAUUAUUGAUAGUAUUUUUGCAUAUAAUGUAGCACUUGAUAUUAUGAUGGAGGACGAGAAUCAUGUCUUGAUUGGUUGAUGAAUGCCGACGUAGAAAUGAUUGGCCAAAAUGGAAAGAUGUGAUCCAAUUUGAAUUGGAUUCACUACUAAAAGAAAAGUUUUUGUACUUGUAGUCCAAACAUCUGAAGGUGUAAGCCAGUCAAGAAUGUGUUUGGUUAAGAUCAAUGACCCACUACAUCCAGAAGAGUUGUGGGUUAUCCUCUGAAAAAGAAGGGUUUGUUUGGAUUGUAAGUUAUUUGGGAUUAUUUGAGAUAUUUUUACUGUAGUACUUUUUGUGAUGUGAUGUAUGUGAGAUAAAAAGGUAAUUGGGAAGAUAAAAAGGUGUAUUAGAAAUUGUAAUGAUGAUGUAAGCAAAUAAAAUUGGGUAAAUAAUGCUUCAAUCCAAACAAACCCUUCCAACUAUAUUAUAUGAAAAUAAUGCAGCUUGUAUAGUUCAAUUGAAAUAAGGAUAUAUUAAAGGAAAUAGGACGAAAUAUAUUUCACCAAAAUUUUUUGUACUCACGAUUUGCAAAGAAAUGGUGAAAUUGAUGUGCAACAAAUCCGAUCAUAUAAUAAUUUGGCAGAUUUAUUUACCAAAGCAUUGUCGACUGUAAAUAUUUGAAAAAUUGGUGAAAAAUAUUGAAAUGCAUCAGGUAAAAGACCUAAAAUGAUGUUUGCAUUAGGGGGAGAAAUUAAUACACAAGAAUAGUGUAACCUUUUUGCUUCACUAGAGUUUUUGUCCCGUUGGAUUUUUCCCUAAUAAGGUUUUAACAAGGCAUAUUCUUUGUAUAAUGGACAUCUAAAGGGAAGUGUUAUGAAGCAACUAUAUGAGAUGGAUAUCCAUUUGUAUUCCCAAGAGGAUUAAUUCAUGAUUCAUUUCUACAUUAUGUAAAGAAGUUACAUGGGAUGAACCGUUUCAAUCCAUAGGCCCAUUCAUGUAUUGGAUGAACCGUUUCAUAGGGCUAUUCAUGUUCUUACAGUAAUGAGUGUUUAAUAGGAUUGAUGCACAUUUAAUUUUGUAGUACCUAUAUAUAGAGGUACUUUAACACCUCUUUGAAUGACUUUUGGAUUAGUUGGAAUAAUAAAAAAAGGGAAAAUGACAUGUUUCAUCCCUCACAUUUCACAAAAAUAUUCUUUUCGUCCCUCACUUUUAAAAUGAAGCAAUUUCAUCCCUGACAUUUAAAAAUUAAAGUUAUUACAUCCCUGAACCUAAUUUUCAAUCUGAAUCAAAUCAUCCAAUAAUCCAAUAAUAAAUUUCGGAGAUAGAAUUGAUAGGUCACUCGGUCAAUUUCAUCAUAUUCACAUGACAUUUAUCAAACCAAAAAAAUAAAUAUUAUAACAUAAAGGCCAUUAUUUGUUUUGGAAUAGUCGGGUUUUUCUUUUGGGUAAAUCUUUUUAUGCACCGUUAGUAUAUUCGCUUGCGAGUCUAAAUGUGUAUCAUAAAUACAAAAUUUGGUGUUUAAAUUUAAAUUGAAACGAUAUGGUAGGUACAUAAAACUAUCAGUGUAUACAAUGACAAUGUAGGAAUUCAAGUUGAGUUAUAUUCAAGUUGAAUUAACCAAGUGAUUUACCAAUUAUACCUCCAAAAUUUGUAAUCAGGUUGAUAGGUGGUUUGAUUCAUAUUGAAAAUUGGGUUCAAGGAUGUAAUAGCUUUAAUUUUUUAAUGUCAGGGAUGAAAUUACUUCAUUUUAAAAGUGAGGGACGAAAAGAAUAUUUUUGUGAAAUGUAAGGGAUGAAACAUGUCAUUUUCCCAUAAAAAAAUCAUUUUCUAUUUCUCUACCUCUUUCUCUAAUAUUUCAAUUCCUAUUAUAGUAAUUUAUCUUAUUAAUUUUACAACACGUUGUGCAUCUUAUUUUGUUCUAUUGUUUGGUCUCAAACAAUUUAGAUUGCAUUACAACCAUGAAAUUUGGUGGUGUGCCUUUUUACUUUGAUAUUUUCAUUGACAGAUAUAGUGUCAAAUAAAAAUUCUUUGACAAAGAAAUUCAGAAAAAUAUAAUGCAUGCGUCAUGAUUAAUUAAUUUGGUCCCAAUUUACGAAAUGAUCCUGCAUAUAUUCACUGUGUUUAUGGUGAGAAAUCCCUACCAUGUCGAAAAAAAUUAUCCAUAUUGAUAAAUUGUCCUGAUAGAAAAAAGAAUUAUCCACAUUGAUAAAUUGUAUUGACAUGUAAUCUUUACUUGAUAAACACGAAUAUCUUAUGGAUACUUCAUGAAUAACUUUAACUUGAUUGUAUCACGUUUUUUAUCAAGCAAGUAAAUUGCAAAAUAAUAGUAACAAUUACUCUUUAUUGGCCUUUUUUUUUUUUUUUUCAUUGAUCGACAGGCUAUAAAGGAAAAUAAUACAAAGGAAUGGGGAUUUAGAAGCAAAUAAUGUUGGUUAUGAUAGAGUUGGCAUAAAUGUGGGAACGUAAUAUUCUGGAUUUUUUUUGUUGACUGGAUUACAAAGAGCUUGUCAUAGUGGAAGUAAUACAAGCAAAUUAUAACUCUAAUCAACCCACAAGUGGUAUGUAAGGCUUUGAUAUACUGUUCACCUCAGGAGACUUGGUGUAUGACAACAUAAAGAAAUAAACGUUCAUUAUAUACUUUGUCUUUUGUUGCCCCUAACCGAUUCCAAAACUUAUAUUUUCGGAAUAGCAAAUAUUUGUAGGUGCCCUAGACCUAGAGUGUUCGUGUACAUCAACUAGUUUUAAUGUUAAAAACUUAUUAAUAAAAGUAUGAAAGGCGCAUCCAAUGAAUGUGCUGUUUAGGAAUACUUGUCGUGUUUUCAGUGAGAUGUGUUUUUACACAAAUAAUUAUACUACUAGAAUUUUGUCCGUGCCUUAACACGGUUUUUUUUGUGUUUAUUACAAAUUUAUAAAAAUAAAAAAAAUUUAAAAUAAAAAAAAUUAACAACAAUCCUACAUGUUCAUCUAUAUUAACUUUAAAAAAUUAAUGUAUUCUAAAUAUUCAAUUAUUUACUAAUUUUUAAAAAUUUGUUUACAUACUUUCACUAUAAUAUAAUAGUAUAAUUAAAUCAUGUACCCCAUAUCAAGAACUUGAUAUUUAUUCUUUUUUUAUAAAUAUUCUUUUAGAUAAUUUAAAUUUUUAUAAUGACCAUAAAUCUAGAAAUAUAUAUUCAUAUUUAAUUAAGUAGAAAAAAUCUAGCAAAUUAUUUUUCUUCAUCAAUAAAUAUUCAGUUUCCAAUAAUAUUGAUAAAUCUGUCGGUGUAAUAGUUAAUUCUCUUUUUUACACUAAGUUAAUUCAAAACUAAAUGGAAGAAAUGGUAAAGAAUUUGAAUACUAAUCAACGCUAUGGUGGUGAAAAGAAGUAAUUUGAGAUAUGUAAGAUUUUAAUAAUUGUGAUUAACGAAGUAAAUUGGAAUAUGUAAGAUUUCAAUAAUUGUGAUUAAGGAAGUAAUUUGGAAUAUGUAAGAUUUCAAUAAUUGUGAUUUGAAAAAGAAUUGACUAUAGUUCUAUAUAUAAUAAUUUGAUAGAAAGCAGAAUCAUUAAGAUAAAAUUAGUUAUUUUUUAAAACAAUAUCUUUAAGACAAGAUUAGUUUUUUUUAAUGUUAUUUUAAAAUUAGAGAUAAUUUUUAAACAUAUAAUAUAAUCCAAUUAGGAUUUAAUAUGGGUAAAACCCAAAUGACUCAUAACCCGUUAAUUCUCUUCAGUUAAGCAUGCCGCAUAUGAAUGAGAAACAACCUUGAUUAAAAUAGCUAUUUUCAUUUAUAUAUAUAUAUAGAUUCCUUUGUUUUUUGCUCCUUACUCCCUCCUGCUAUUGGCAUACGAAUCCCUCAACAUUUGUAGACUUUGUUUUUGAAUUUGUGUCCAUGUCUCUGGUUUUUUUUCUUCCGCAUUUAUUUCCAACCUCCUUUCCUGCCAAGUCAACUAUCUAAUUACCUUUAUAUUUAGUGCUUCCUUCGUCCCAUUUUGAUAGGUUUGGUAUAUGUUCACACAAUUUUAAAAGAGUUAGUUAAUUUUGUUGGAAGAAUAACUCAAAUUUACUAUCUUUCUAAAAUAUUCAUUAUAUUAAAUGGAGUACGACUAAUUAGCUUUACAUUAAAUAAGUUAUAUUCAAUAACAAGCUUAUAACAACUUAUAUUAAAUAAAGGCAUUUUAAAAAAGUUAUAAAUUAAUUAUAUUAUUUAAUUGAAAAAUGAACUAUAUAUAUAACUAAAGCAUCAAAGCUAUUGAGGAAAGCUCUGCCUUCUCUCUAAAAAACCUUCUCUCUAAAAAGCCUAGUUUCUUCGUGAAAUCACUUAGUUGGCAUGGCUGCCCUUCAGCCAUCGGCUGAGGGGCAAAGGUCUCCUACAGAAAAAAAAUCCUUUUCUCAACUUUUCUCACAGCCUGCUACAUCACCUAUCAAAAUUCAGCACGUGUCUGUUUACAAGGGUGAAGCUGCGGUUAUUUUCUCCAGAGAAGAUGUGGACAAACUUGCGGCACCGUUUAGAUGGACUUUGGUUGGAAAAUUUUCUCAUGGAAGACCUUCAUUGGAGGAUACUCGCAAAUUCUUUUCUUCACUAAAUCUGAAAGACCAAGUUUCCAUUGGUUUGAUGGAUUAUAGACAUGUUUUGAUUAAGUGCACCGCUGAAGUAGAUUUCAACAGGAUUUGGAUGAGAGGGAUUUGGCAAUUGGGUAAAUAUCCGAUGCGUGUAUUCCGAUGGACCAGGGAGUUUCAUGUUCAUAAAGAGUCAUCUCUGGCUCCAGUUUGGGUAGAUCUUCCUAACUUACCUAUUCAUUAUUUUGAUAAACAUUCUUUGUUCUCCAUACUUUCUCCAGUAGGAAGACCUUUGUUCUUGGAUUCGGCAACGGCUGCUGGGACACGACCUAGUGUGGCCAGGGUCUGUGUGGAAAUUGAUGUAUCGAAGCAAGUUGUACCAAGGGUCUGGAUAGCUGUUGAAGGAGAAUCAGGUUUUUGGCAAAAGAUAGUACCAGAGAAUCUGCCGUCAUACUGUUCUUAUUGCUGGAGAUUGGGUCAUUUGUCUGUCGACUGCAAGAAGAAUUUGACUGAGCCUCAAUCCAAGCGGCUGCAACAUGGUUUAAAUUCACAAAUCCACAAGGAUUCAAUGCUAGUUACUAAACAAAUGCAUUUUACUAAUGGGAAAGUUACUGAUGAAGUGCCAGUUCCUGGUAUGAUUGAGGAUGAAGGGACAUCAGCCGAUGCAAGGGUGAAGAAUGGAAGAUCUGUCCAGCUCGAAAACGAAAGAAAAUUAAUGGAUACUGAUGUGGGUUUAAAAACACAAAAUGGGAACAAUGAUUUUUUGCCAGAAUGUUCAGAUCGUUCACAUGAGCACAAUACAAUUUCUAAUGAGAAAAAUUCUGAGAAUUUGACAUUAACAGGUGUGGAUGACAAUGAAGGAAACACAACAGCGGUUGCAAUGAUGCCUCCUCUAUCUGUUCAACGAGCCAUUGAUCCAGAAACACUAGUGACCGAACAUGGAGAUACUAAUGUGGGAUUACAAAAACAAACAUUGGAUGCUGUUGGACAAGCACAACCCAUUUCGGAUGAUGGUUUGAAGAACAUUACCCAAGACCAUGAUUGUGAAGGGUCCCAGAUGGUAAUGGAUGCUACUUUGACAGAUUUACAGCAGCAAAGUGCCGAAACAAAUGCAAUGGCCGACAUUCAAAUAACUUCUAAUUUCAACAGCCAUGAUUGUGAGGGGUCCAAAUCAAUUGCAAAGCAAUAUUACGAAGCUGCUCAACAUCACAAGGCCGACACUAAUGAACUUAACAAUCUUUAUAUUGAUUUGUGUGGGGCCGGGGCGGACAACUUCACUUCAAAUAUGACGAAUGUAGUCAUAUUGCCAACUGGUGUUGGCGACUUAUCUCCACGCCUGGUUGAAGCUCGUGACAAGUCCUUGGAUCCAUCCAUAAAUCCGUUAAACAUUGACCAAUCUGUUGUUGACGAGAAGAAUGGCCGACAAACGAGAGGCAAAGGUGUGCGGAUUAUUGUGCCAUCUGAUAGACAAUUACGGUCCACAACAUCUUUCCAAAACUCAUUCCAGGUUCUUUCUAAUGAUUAGUGGUAUCUUUUGGAAUAUUAGAGGGGUAGCUAAAGCCCCUAAUUUAAGAAGACUGAUUAAAUUGGUACGAUUUCAUCGUGUUCAAUUUGCUGUGAUUUGUGAACCAAAAUUAGAUGUGUCUAAAUUAGAGUCCAUCCGUCUAAGGUUAUCUUUUGAUCAUGCCUUUGUUAAUCUUUCUAGUGAUAUUUGGGUAUUUUAUAGAAACCCUUUUGCAUGUUCCAUUGUGGGUAAUUCGGAUCAACACAUUUCCAUUCAUGUUCAGAAUUCAUUCAUAUCUAGUCCAAUUAUCAUGUCGUUUGUCCAUGCCAAGUGUUCAGUCGAGGAGCGUCGAGAAUUAUGGUGCAAUUUAUUAAAUGACAAACCAAUCUCUCUUCCUUGGUGUAUUGGGGGUGACUUUAAUGUCAUCUUAGCUGCUCAUGAAAAAAGCGGUGGUCGUCCAUUCACAAUAGCGGAGGGGGUGGAUUUCAUGUCUUUCAUGGAGGAGGCGGGGGUUUUUGAUAUAGGCUUCUCUGGAGCUAGUUUCACCUGGUCUAAUAAUCGGAGAGGUAGAGCCAGGGUUUCAAAGAGGUUGGACAGGUUUCUAAUUAAUGGGUCAUGCUUGGAAAUUUCAGAUGUAAUUUCUGUGAUUCACUUGGCAAGACAUCCUUCAGAUCAUGCACCGUUGAAGAUUUCUUUUGUGGAUCAAUCAGACAAUAAGCCGCGGCCUUUCCGUUUCUUGAAUAUAUGGACUACCAAACCCGAACUCUUGGAGGUUAUUCGGCAAGCUUGGAAUCAAGAUGUGGUUGGUUCUCCGUUACGAGUACUAUGCUCCAAAUUAUUGGCAACGAGGAGGGCUAUUCAAGUAUGGAAUAAACAACACUUUGGAAAUAUAUUUGAUGCUGUGCGAUCUACGGAAAUGGCAGUCCAACGGGCAGAACAAGUUGUGGAUCAAAAUGUCUCCGAGGAAUUUCAUGUUCAGCUUAGCAAGGCUCAGGCGGAAUUACGGCAUGCACUAUCAAUUGAAGAACAAUUCUGGAGUCAAAAGGCCAGAAUAAAAUGGCUUGCAAAGGGAGAUCGUAAUUCAAGGUAUUUUCAUGCGGUUGUAAAGCAGAGACGAGCUCAAGGAAGGAUACAUCGUAUCAAAAAUUCCAAUGGUAUUUGGGUGGAGUCGAAGGCUGAAAUAGUAUUUGAAGCAAUAACAUACUUCUCAGAUAUUUUCACAACGGCCUCUUUACAGUCUUCUACUGAUUUGCUGCAUUUAAUCCCGCCUAUGAUCUCGGAAAAUAACAAUGACAAAUUGGAAAAAUUACCCUCGAUUGAGGAGGUCUAUCGAGUUGUGAGAUCAAAGGAUGGAGAUAGUGCUGCGGGCCCAGAUGGAUUCACUGGCAAAUUCUUUACAUUUGCAUGGGAAGUUGUCGCCCAAGAUGUUCAUAAUGCAAUUCUCAGCUUUUUCUGUGGGGCAGAGUUACCUCGAUUCAUCACUUCUACCUCUAUUGUAUUAAUUCCCAAGACGACAAAUCCUCAAGAUUUCUCUCAAUAUAGGCCAAUCAGUCUGUGUAAUUUCUUCAACAAGCUAAUAUCCCGGAUUUUAGCAGAUAGAGUGGCUUCUAUAUUGCCAAAAAUUAUUUCUCCCCAGCAAACAGGAUUUGUGAAGGGACGUAAUAUAACAGACAAUUUUCUUUUAGCUCAAGAGAUAGUAUCGGGCAUUGGAAAGAAGAAAAAAGCUGGAAAUGUGGCAAUGAAGCUGGACAUGUCUAAGGCAUAUGAUCGGGUGGCAUGGGAUCAUAUUACUGGUGUUCUAAGAAGAUUUGGUUUUGGGGAAAGAUUCAUUGAUCUUGUAUGGCGAUUGAUUUCUAAUGUUUGGUUUUCGGUCAUUAUAAAUGGGUCUACCCAUGGUUUCUUUAAAUCUUCAAAAGGAUUACGUCAGGGUGACCCUUUAUCGCCUGCUUUAUUCAUUAUAGGAGCUGAGGUUUUGUCUAGAGGUUUGAAUAAUCUUGCCUUGCAAUCGGGAUUUGUGGGUUUCAAAACUCCAUACGCAUGCCCUUCUAUAACACAUUUGGCAUUUGCGGACGAUGUCCUCAUAUUUGCAAAUAGAUCUUCACAUUCUUUAAAGGCCAUCAUGCAGGUACUACAGAUGUAUCAAAGGUGUUCGGGGCAGUUGAUAAAUGUGCAAAAAAGUUGUUACUUGGUUCAUCCAUCCUUGUCACUGGCUAGAAGAAGGGUGAUUGAACGUAUCACCAGUUUUACCUGGCAUUCAUUUCCGAUACGUUAUUUAGGCUUUCCUCUCUAUUUCGGAAGGUGUAAAUCAUCUUAUUUUGGGGAAGUAUGUCAGUCUAUCCUAGGGAGGAUUAUGACAUGGAAAUCAAGGUUGCUUUCAUUUGGAGGUAAGAUAGUUCUAAUCAAACAUGUUUUAGCAUCGAUGCCAUUGCAUCUGCUCUCAGCAUCGAUUAUCCCAGCUAAAGUAUUUAGAACUAUAGAAAAUGCUUUGUCGACCUUCCUUUGGAGGUCAUCACCCGAGAUGUCCAAGUAUCACUGGAUACGGUGGUCUCUGAUGUGUUAUCCAGUAGACGAGGGAGGAGUUGGCUUUAGAAGACUUCAGGACGUCUACAGAGCAUUUUCAUUCAAGCUUUGGUGGAAUUUCAGAAAGGGGAUAUCGUUAUGGGCUCAAUUUAUGAAAGCAAAGUACUGUAGACAACAACAUCCCUGCCAGGUAGAAAUCAAAACAACGGACUCGGCACUCUGGAAAAGGAUGGUGAAUGUGAGUCGACAAGUGGAACUUUCUAUGCUAUGGGUGGUCAAAGAUGGAGCUUGUCAUUUUUGGUACGACAAUUGGUUGGGUAAUGGUGCAUUAUUCCUCCAAGCCACGGUUAUCCCAAACUUAUCUUUUAGUAACUUUAUCAGUAAUGGACAUUGGGAUACGAGUCGGUUAUGUCAGUCACUGCCAAGUCAAAUGGUGACCUCCAUUUUAAACCACCCGGUCCCCGAAGAAGGGGGUGAAGCGGAAGUCAUAUGGAUGCCUACUUCUUCUGGAAAUUUCUCUCUUGCUUCAGCUUUUCGGGAUAUUAGGCAAGCCCGUAACACGUCAAUGGUGUUUGAUAGAAUUUGGCAUCCUUGUCUUCCUUUGAAAGUUUCUUUCUUCAUGUUAAGACUGUUGCUGGGGAGACUGCCAAUACCCGACAGGUUACGUAACAUUGGUUUUCAUCUUCCAUCAAAGUGUUUUUGCUGUCCAUUGGCAUCUGAGGAAUCAAUCGAACAUUUAUUUUCAAAUGGCAAUAUAGCAUCAACAAUUUGGAAUUAUUUUGGAGCUGCAUGUGGAUUUGAUUUAUCAGGGUCAUCUUUGAGACUCCGCAUAGUGGGUUGGUGGUUGAAUUCAUACGAUUCUGAGAUACGUCGGUUCAUUGGACGAGUUCUUCCCAGUGUUGUGUGUUGGCAUAUUUGGAAGGCAAGAAAUAAAGCAAUGUUUGACGAUGUCCAGAUGAGGUCGAUUGCCAUUUGUCAUGCCAUUUUUUCCGAAAUCCAAUCCAUGGUGGGAAUUUUUUUCAAAAAACCUCUCCGAGUACCAUCAUUUUAUCAUUUGUAUGACUGGCCUAAUUCAUCGGAGGUUAGGUUUACAUAUAAACUUGUACGAUGGGAAACGAAGGAAUCUGGUCGCCUCACACUUAAUACGGAUGGAUGUUCUAAAGGUAAUCCAGGAGUGGGUGGAGGCGGUGGAGUUCUUCGGGAUUCAAAUGGCCUACCUUUGAUUGGUUUCUCGGCAUAUUUUGGGGAAACAACAUGUCUCCAUGCAGAAGCUCGUGCCCUCCUUAUUGGUCUCCAAAUCAGUGCACAUAGGGAUUAUUUGAAUCUCUAUGUGCAAUCUGAUUCGUUGAUAUUAAUUGGAAUUCUCCAGCAUCGCAUUCAUUGCCCUUGGCACAUUAGACGGGUUAUUAGGCAGAUUUGGCAGAUCAUGGAAGAUCCAGAUCGAUUUUCCCAUUGCUACAGGGAAGCAAACACAGUGGCUGAUGUGUUGUCCAACGAGGGCGUAUCUCAUCCACAGCAGCAACUCAGGAUAUAUGAGACAUUUAAUACAUUUCCACCUAUGGCUCGUGGAGCAAUUCGUCUGGAUAAGCUAGGAAUGCCUUCAAUUCGGAAAAUUAGGCUUGUGUAAUAGUUUGUUUUCUUUUACCUAAAUAAAAAAGAAGUAUCACAUUCUCACAAAAAAAAAAAAAAAAAAGAACUAUAAUUUAGAAUAGAUGAAAAAGGAAACAAGCUUAUUAAAGUGCGAUGAAGCGAGUAUUUUUCCUUUCGGUAGGGAUUUUCUUGGUUGUUUAUACCGGUGUCUAUUUGUUUCCUGUGGCCGGUGAAUUCGACCAUCAGACGCACUUCGCUCUCCACCACAAUAGCUCAGCUUGAUAAUUAUUGAGUAUACUCCUCAUUAAUUCUAUUUGCCUGUACCCACAGCAGGUCGUUGGUACACUACCCAUAAUGUAAUGAUCCCCAUCUGCACAUUUUAUUUAUAUAAAUGUCAAUUUUAUAUAUGUAUUAUAAAAAUAUAAAAUCAAAUCUCAUAAAUAAUAAUUUCAACAAAUAUCAUUAAAUAAAUUUUAAAUAAUUAUUUAUUAUUGCACACGCAUCAAAUGUGCUUUAACUACUAGUAUAAAAGAAGAGGAGGGGGUUUACAAACAUUAUUUGUCAUUUUAUGAACUUUCAUUUUUAUCCUUAUAACAACUAUUUUUAUUUAACUACCUAAACAUAUAUUUAUAGCUAGUUGUAUCGAAACAUGUUUUGCUUCAACUAUUCACUAUUCAACAUAAUUAAUUCUAAACAUUAUAGCUAUCAAUAUAACAAUUAUUAUGUGAAUGAAAUUUAAGAGAUUAGAUUUUACUUUAACAAUGAAAAAUGCAUUUACCAUAAACAUUAUGUAUUUUUCUAUUGCACACCUGUGUGCAAAGCACCAGUAUAUACUGUAUAAUGCUUAUUGAUGUUACCACUUGUUAAGUUUUAAUACAUUAUUCUUUUUAGUUUAUGUCAAAAUAAUGGUUAUUAUUUUUAGUUAAAUUUAUUAACCGAGCAAAAUGUACCGCAUUUCAGACAUUUUACACAUGUAAAAGAAAAAAAAGACAUACUCUCCAACAUCAUGUUAAAUUUCAAUUCUUUAAUAUGGUAAAAUAGUUUUGGUACUUAAAUUUUGAAGUCUAUAUCAUCUCAAUUCUACCUACAUUUGAAUCCUCAACUUAAAGCUUUAAAAGCUGAAUGCUCUUCUUUCAGUUUCUAUGUCUCAUGGUUUUCUGUGGACUGUGUCUUCCAAUGAAAAAUAAAUAAAUAACAUGGGCACUGGGCAUUCUUCCUCAAAUUAAUCUCCAAGGUCAAAUCCAUAUUGUCAGACAAGAAUUAAUACAAGGAAAUUAGACCAUGACCCAUGUGUUGUUGACACUUCCUUAUUUGUUAAUAAUACUUGUUGGCCCGUAAAUUUUGCGAUUAUAGGCCUUUCGAGCUUCUCAGUUGUCUUUACAAUAGGGAAAAGCUCAGAAAAUUUGUCACUCCACAGCUUAAAGUCCAUCACUAAGUAAAUUGUAUGCUUAAUUAAAAUCUACUCACUACUGCAAAAUCAUGAAAACCAGAUUUUUUAUCAAAUGAAAAAAAAAAAAAACAAUGCAACCUGAUAUAUUGAAUUAAUGCAACUAAUCAUUCAUGAGAAUACAAAGUGAUGAUCAAAUAUUGAACUAGUACUAAUGCAUAGCCGAUUAGCCUCAAAAUUCAAAAGGAUAUCAUGCAAACUUUAGUAAAAGCAAGAGAACAAAAAAGGGCUUUUAUUGCCAUGGAUAAAAAUUUGUCUCACAGUUGGCAAGAAAAUACAAGAGUUGAUAUUGCAAACUAUUUGAUCACAAUUCUACGAGGGAUAACGGAAAAAGACACAAUAAAUGAGACAAAUUUUGGUAAAGUACACAAAAAAAAAAGAAAUGCAGCAGCAUCGGGAAAUUUAAUGAAGUAUAGAAAAUUUCAGAAUCAUGGGAAUACAGAAAUAGAACCUCUAGGAAGAAUGUGAAAUACCUGGUGCACUGUAUGGGGGUUUUUUUUUACCAUAAAUCAAAAGACGUAGCCCUAUUUUAUAAAAAGUACAUUAAAUUAACAGAUUGCUAGAAAUUGUCCAGCACGAUUGGAUUUACAUCACUAUUCUAAUGAAAGGUUAAAUAUGCAUUAGAAAUUAAGAUCUAUAAUUCAAUAGAUACAAUAGAUCUAAAAAAAUACAAGAAUUUUUAAAUUUGAUAAAUAGUUGUAUCUCCCGUUUGUGCAUGUUGUAAUCACCAAAUUUGCUAAUAAACUGUUUUAAUCUUCAAUAAUGAUGAUAAUAUCUGUCGAAAUAGAUCCAAGAACCAAAAAAUUUUAGAUCUAAUAACAAAAUUAAAAAAAAUUAAAAAAACACAAAAAUCUCCAUAGGAACCCCUGUGAGAAUAGAAAUUCUCGCUAGGAAUCUCUAGAGAAAAAGAAAAUUCUUACCAAGAAAACUUAGGAGAGAUUUUAUUAAUAAAAUAAAAUAAAAUAAAAUUCACGAGAGAGAGACCACGAAGCCUCUGAGAAGAGAAGAAGAAGUAAAGAAUAAUCAGAGAAGAAAAAAGGUAGAGAAGAAAAUAAAAUGUUUACAACAUGUAGCAUAACCAAGACAAUUUUCAAAUUCGGCACAGUUCGGGAAAUACACACUAACAUACAAAAAUCAUCUUUAAAGUGGACGUGUUUUAAGAAACUGGACUCAAAAUCUUGUAGCUCUCAUGACAAAUCAUUUUCAAAAUCACUCAACCAGGAUUCGAAAGUCACUUGAGUGACCACAAAAUUUACAAGAGAGGUAAAUAUAUCAAGCCUACUCAAGAUUUUUCCGUAUAGAUAUGUUCAUUAAUUUAUUAAGUGGCAAAAAAAUGUGAUCAUUCUCAAAUCUUGCAAUAUGCUACUUUGAAUUAAAUUAGCAAACAUUAGUCUAAUUUACAGUACAAUAAUUUGUGUGAUAUGUCCACCAUUUUGUUUUCUCUUAAAAAGGAUCAAUAGUGAUUUUUGAUAACUCAAACGCAUGAUCUCUAGGGAAAUGGGGCAGGGACGGUCAUCAGUAUGACCGUCCCUGAGCAGUUAAUGGCCAUGAUUUGGUCAAAAAAUUUUGUGCGGUCCAGAUAAUAAGUUGUGCAUCGAUUUUCACACCGUGUGGGACUCGCAAAAUUUUGUACUAAAAUUACACGUUGUGCAAACAAAGUUACGUCGUGUGUAACCAAAGUUACGCCCCUUGUCCGAUCUCUAGACGGUUAUAGGUAAAGUAUCUUAUCAAUUAAGCUGCACUUUCACUAUCAAUGUAACGUGUUCACUUGAAAACAUUACAGGCAUAGUAUUUAAAAAACUUUUGCUUUAAAAAUCUUUACGGGCAUAGUAGUUAACAAGCAUUUAAUUUGUCCAUAGUUUUUAGGUGUGUAACGCAUUCAGAAAUGCAUUCCACACUUGAAUGGAGGGAAAACCAUCGUAAAUAUGUAAUCAAAUCCCCAGUCGCUUAUGCAAAAAAAAAAAAAAAAAAAAAAAAGGUCUUCCCAUACAUAUGAUAUCAGCUUAGUACUACAUAUCUAAAAACAAACAUUUACAUGUCUGAUUUCUCUGGUUUUUUGGCAAAAGAAAUGAUAAGAUUAUUAAAGAAGCCUUUGCCCAUGCGGAGAAGCUUUGCUGCAUUCUUCGCAAACCUGUGGCAUAUGUCAGGUACAAUAGCUUCUCCAAAAUGACUUGCGAGGGUGGGUUCGUAAACUACUCUAAUGAAUGAUGCCACAUACGCUGCUCUAACAUGUUCAUCGCAGUAUACUUGGGAAUGGGAUUGUAACUGGUAAUCAUCAUCAAUGGAGAAGCCAGCAUCAUGACGGAGCUUAAAAGUCUCCAGGUACAAAAUUUCAAAAGAACCUUCCUCCUCAAUUAUGUACCUUAUUUCUUCUACUGAAGAAGUAUAGUUUGGAAGAUUGAAACUAUCCAUUCUUUCUUCCUCCUGAUGUCCCUGCAGAUAUGCCAAUCAUCAAUUCAAUUCAAAUUAUUUGAAGCGCGAGACUUGGAAAUUAGCCAAUUUGUUAAAACGUCAAGUCUAGCGUAAAAUGCACAGUUUUUUUUCCCUUAAUUUCAAUAUGAAUAUAUUAUUACUUGUGUUUUUAGUUCAUACUUCAUAUAGAAAAGUUGCCAAAAAAUUAAAUAAUGAACGAUUUCUUCCUUUCCAAUACUUUUUUUUUUACCAAAAAGGGAAAAAAAUACCUGACAAAUUAAAUCCCACUAUAUUUCUAACUUUCAACAAAUUAAUUUGGUGGAGGCUAGACGAAACUCAAGGAAAGAAUUAUCUUAAAUGUAUUGAAGUUGUGUGAUAACAAGCAUCUAGAGAUGACAAUGAAAACAGAUGUAAUAGGGUGGGGAAGUGGCUAAUAGGGUGGGACGAGGUGGAGGACAUUUUUCUCCUCCUGUUUUAAAUGAGGUGGGGGACGGGAAGGAUACCCCCUACCUAUCUGCCACCCCAUCCCCUACUACUAAAAUAAAGUUUUAAAAAAUAAAUAUUUGUAUAUAGUUUUACACAUAUAUACAUAUACACAUUAUAAUUACAUAUCAAUUAUUUAUAUAUGCGCGCGCGCGCGCGUGCAUGUGUAUUAUAAAUUAAGAAUAAAAAAAAUCAUAAUUUAUAUGAUAAAAUAAUGAUAUGGCUAUCUUCAAUUUCCUUAAAAUUUUUUACAUAUUGUAAGUAAUUUACCUAAAAAUAGGAAACAAAUAUGAUGGUUAUAAGUUUAGAUUUGCCAUUAAAAGUAAAGAGAUGAAUUAAAAAGAUCAAAAUAAUUUUUAAUCUCGAUUUCACAUUGAAUAUUUUACUAAGAAUCUAUAAAAGAGUGAUUUAUAAGGUUUUGAUAUUAUAUAUGUAGACAAAUAAUGUCAAAAUAAAAAAUAUAAUUAGCCAACUGGGAGGACACCCAUGGGGAUGUGGGACCGGGCAGGGGGCGAGGUGGGAGGAGAUUUUAGAACACCGGGCAGGGGCGCCCCUUGCCCCCCCCCCCUCCCCCCCUCCAAAAAAAAAUUGCCAUCCCUUAGUGAAGCAUCUGAUAAUCAUCAAAGAGACAGAGAGAUUAAGAUCUCGACAACCAAGUCCAUUAAUGCCAUGUCAAGUAAGUCAAAGAUAUUCGGGCCGUCGAAUUCAUCUCCUUCACACAUGAAAGUAAGGAGUAUUCGGCCAUGUGAAACCAACUCUUCCGAAUGCAUCCUUAGAAAUGUGGUAAAAUCUUUCAUAAAUUGGUCCAAAUAUGCCUUUUGGGCGGGCGGACAGCUUGCUUUGGAAGAGUGAAUGCUCCCUUUAUUCACACUGAUCCCCGAUUCAGUCACCAAACCACUGGGAACCUGCACGUCUAAAGCUGGUAACUUAUAUUGUUGGAGCAUUUUGUUAGCGUUGCAUGUGGGAAUAUAAAUCAUGAGCCGCGAAUUUUUAUUUUUUUUUAAUAAAAAUGUUGUUGGUUUCUUCAGAAAUCUCUUUCUUGGAUUCUUGUGGAUACCUUGAGAUUGAAUGAAAAUCAUGAACGAUUUUUGCUACAAGAGAAAGGAAAAGGAUAAAAGGGAUUAAUUCAAAGACCUGAGAUAACCAGUGAAGACUGUAAGAAGGGUGUAAAAAAUGCAUGGACUCCUCGGGGAAGAGUCUGCCGUAGAAAGAGCCAGGCAUUGUGGCUAUCAGGCACGAUCCUAUUUUGCGUCCGUUUUCUUUCUCAAGUUUGCGGUAGAAGCUUGGCAGCGACUUGAAAACCGAAUUGAAAUCAUUUUGGAAAAGAUCAUUCAGAAAAAUCUGAAUGGUGGGAGGUUCGAAUGCAUUCUUCUUUUCCUGGCCAACUUUGUCGACACUUUGUAUAAUGUUCCAAACUGUUAAAACUGUGUUUGGGCCAGAAGCGCAUCCCAAAUCCGCAACUUUAAGGCACUUGUUGAUGUUGGGUAAGUUGGCCCGCAACAAUUCUCGUAAGCAUUGUUCAAGGGCAGGUUUCACCUUGGUGAGAACCGAAUUCUAGAUACACCACUCCAAAAAACAAAUGUUAAGGAGGAAAAAAAGAUAUACUAUUUUAGAGAUCAACGUGUCAUAGCAUGAGUUAGUACUACUCUGUGUGUGUGUGUGUGUGUGUUAAAGAGAUAGAGACAGAGAGACAGACAGAUUUGGUAGGGUGAAUUCUUUGCGUAGCUUGUGUCGCCUUCACCUCCAUUCAUAUGCAGUACUUAACCGAAUCGCAAUGACGGAGCAGGAUUUUUUCUUUUUGGGGGGGGGGGGGGAAUUUUUUUCGAACAAAAUUACCUUAAUUUUCAAAAUAAUUUCAUUUAUUUAAAUAUAUGACAUCUUAUAAUAUCAAAUAUUAACUUUAAUUAUAAAGAUAUGUCUAUUUCAUAAAUAUGUAACAGAGUCAUAACUAAAAUUAAGACAAGAAAUAAUCUUUGAUUAAAUGUCUUAUAACAUCACAAACCACUCAUUAUGAGAAGAUGCUCCAAUAUGUCACUUGUACAAAAAAAGAAAAUAUAACUAUUUUCAAUUAAAAAAAGAUAAAAGUUAUGUUAGCAUACCUUAAAAUUUCAUCCUCUUUUAUUAAAAGUAAAUUGAGAUUUACGUUCUUUUAUAGAACUAAAUUCAUGUAUAAUUGAAUCAAUGCUAAAUUUUCGAACAACUUUCUUUUUUAUGUACAUUGUUAGGCAAUCAUUCAAGAAAUUAUCUUUUAUCUUGUAUUGGAGAUUUGUUUUGAUUAUCUUCAUAAUUGAAAAUGUCUAUUCUAUAGACUAUAGAACGGAGCCAGGAUUUUUUCCUUGGGAGGGGGGCCAAAAUUUUUCUAAACAAAAUUAUCUUAAUAUGUUAUAUUCAAAAUAAUUUUCAUCUAUUUAAAUAUAUGACAUCUUAAAAUAUCAAAUUUUAAUUUUAAUUAUAAAGGUAUGUCUAUUUCAUAAAUAUGCAGCAUAGUCAUAACAAAAAUCAGGAUAAGAAAUAACUUUUUAUUAAAUAUCUUAUAACAUCACAAAUUACCCAAAUUGUACAUUAUGAGAAAAUGCUCCAAUUUGUCACUUGUGCAAAAAUAAAAAUAUAACUAUGCAAUAUAAAUAUAACUAUUUUCAAUUAAUAAAAGAUAAAAGUUAUGUUAGCAUACCUUGAAUUUCAACCUCUUUUCUUAAAAGUAAACUGAGUUUUGCGUUCUUUCAUAGAACUAAAUUCAUCUAUAAUUGAGUACUAAAUUUUUGAACAACUUCCUUUUUUUUAUGUACAUUGUUAGACAAUCAUUCAAGAAAUUAUCUUUUAUCUUGUUUUGGAUCUUUAUUUUGAUUAUAUUCAUAAUUGAAAAUACCCGUUCUAUAGUUGCAAUUGACAUAGGAAGAGUGAGAAUAAAUAUAAUCAAUCUAUCAACAACAAGAUAGAUCACUCAAUUUCUUGUCUUCACCAAGCCUUCAAGUAAUUAUUUGUAUAUUUGUAUAUGGGUCAACAAGAGUAUAGUUCACUAAUUUUAAAUUUUUUUAUCAAUUAGGCUAAGUUGUAUAUUUGUAUAUGGACCAAUAAAGUAAUUAUUUUUGUUUUAGCCCAUUGAUAAUUAUGAAUUGAGUCUUUUAUUAUAAUAUAUCAAAUUGGGUCAAUUUACUAUGGAUUACCAAAUUAUAUGUUUAAUUUUUUGAAUGUUAAAUAAUUAGCACGAUAAAAAAUAAAUAACUUUUUUUGAAGAAAAAAUUAAAUCAAAGGUGACUAAUUCAUACGCACAUACAUAUAUAUAUAUAUAUAUAUAUAUAUAUAUAUAUAUAUAUAUAUAUAUAUAUAUAUAUAUAUAUAUGUAUAAACUCUCAUAAUAUAAAUUAAAAUUGUAAAAAAUUAGGAGGGCCAACUUUAUCUUAUACAUAUAUUUACAUAUUAUGAAUUAAAAUUUUUAAAACUUAGGGGCCAUGGCACCGCUCAGCCUCCCUUGGCUCUGUCAUUGCCGAAUCGGGACGGCUGAAGAAAGUGUCGGUUAAUGAUUGAUGGUACAAAGAAGUUUCGGACUUAAAUAGCGGAAAUUUCUUAAAUCAAAAGUGCAUUUGAAUUGACAGAAAAUCUGUCGACUAGUCAAACAGAAAGCCACGGCCAUUGGGAACGAGACACAAAGGAAAUGAUAGGCAUAUUGUAGAAAAGUUAUAUUUAUUAUUCCCUCCGUUUUAUUGAAAGUAUCAUAUUUUCAUUUUAAAAUGUUUCAAAAUAUUUGUCAUUUUACUAAAAUCAAAGUUACUUUUGAUCUCUUUUUAUUAAUGUUAACCUCACAUUUAUUUAUAUUUCAUACUAAAUUCAAAUUUGAAUCUUGAAUUUUCGAAGGUUUUUGAAAACAAAUCCUCUAACACUGCUAUUGACAGGUGUUGAGUCUGUGUAAUAAUAAAUACUUACUUAAAAAAAUAUUAAUUUUAUAUAUAAUGGUGAGUAGGAUUGAAUCCAUAGGGAUUGGGGAUAAUUUGUUUCUUUUAGAGUACAGAGUAUGGGGGAUUUUUAUAAAAAUGAGAAUAAUUAAACAAUUCAAACAAAAAGACCUAACUGAUAAUUUAUUAAAAUUGAAACAAUAAUAAAUAAACUCUAGCCAAUAAAUAACUUUGGAAAUAGUUCAUUCAAUUGAUCAUGGAUGUAACAAUAAUUUCAUUUAUUUACUGAUCAUUUAUUUACUGACAAAUAAGUUAUAACUGCCAAACACGCGAUGACAGUCAACUUUUCCUUAUUGUAUUGGUAAUUAAGGUAUAACUGUUAACAACUGCCCUAAUCAAAAAAUAACACUAGGUACAACCUUAGAGUUUAAUUUUCCAAUUGUCUUAAGAAUUAAAAAAUCCUUAUUCUAACCAAAUAACACGCUACAAUAGUUAUUUUAAGUUAACCCAUAUGUUCCCCUAACACAAAUUCAAUCAUGCCAAUUACCACUAGUUUAAAGCAAUUAAAUAAUUACGAAUUUAAUUACUCUAGUUGAUAUGAGGUUAUUAGAUUAAUUUAAAUACCAGGCCCUUGAUAUUCAAAUAACAUAAUAAUCAUAAGAAAUUAAAUUAGAAAACAUACGAAUGCCAAUAAAUAAAAGAAACAAAUGAAAACAAUUAAAUCUCACAAUUAUAGAUGAACCAAAUCCUUUAUUAUCCCUUGACUAGCAAAAGAAAUUAGCCGCUCAUCGUUGGGAAAAAUCUCAAUGCAAAAUUAUGGUGAAUCUCGAUGGACAUGCGGCCACCAAAAACUAAGAACUAAAGUCUAUCGUUUCUCUCUCUUUUGAAGCAAAGAGUCAUGACCCCUCCCUCCCCCAGUCCCCCAAAAUUCUUUUCUUUCAGAAGUACUAGUCAAGCGAGAAAACCAGCCGUCUCAAUUCCUACUUUUUCUCCUAGUUUGUAGCAUGCUAAAAUGAAGUAAACUCCCAAGUGGAAAAGGAAGCUUCAAACGAUAAUUUUCAUUACUCCCUCCCUUUUUUUAUAACAGACGUUUGCACAUCAAUUAAGAAAAGUUUUUCAUUGCUUAAAUCUGUACACUACUUUUCUUUUGUACCCUCAUUAAUUGUCCAAUUCACCCAUGUUUUCUCUCACUAGAGUACUAAAUGGUGCUGUUUUACUAGGCCAAAAGUAGUAAUUAAGAACCCUGUAUUGGAAAAGAGAGAUAAAAGGGUAAAAUUGUGAAAAAAUAAUUAAUACUGUAUGGGGAUAAUAAAACGACAAAUAAAAGUACACUAGAGCAAAUUUCUUAAACGUCAGUUAUAAAAAAAGGGAGGGAGUAUUUUCUAACUAAAUCCUAUAACUAAUAAAGCUAUCUCAUAAAUUUUCAGUCAAAAUUUGCUCAAAGUUUGACACGAACUACGAAACCUUUGCUCGCAUGAAAAAUCCGGAGCUUCUCGGACUUGACAACAGAUAUUGACCGCGUCCACAUCAAACUAGUUCAAAAUAUUCUGGAAGAUUGUCCCUUUAACCACUUUUUCUCCACUUCCCUAUAACUAGUACCAAAUACUAUUGGAGAUUGCAGAAUAUUGUGUGUAUAUUUUGUGCAUAUAUUUGGGCUGUAAUUGCGUAAAGAUAGGAGCUCUGUUUUUGGUAGUUAUUCUUUGGUAAUUGUUUUGGUAGUCGAGAUAGAGUAGGAAUUGAUUUCCUUUUGGUAGUUACGGUAGAAUUAGGAACCAUUACCUUUUUCGAUUUUGGCUUUGCUUUGUAUAUAUUUUGGGGCCUGAGGGUCAUGAAAGGAUGGGAAGAUUUUUUCCACAAUUUCUUUUCAUGGUAUCAGAGCUAUGAACGACGACACGAAGAAACAGAAUGGUGAAGGAAGAAAAUUUGUCUCACCAUACAUCUUGACGGCGAACGACAAUCCUGGGAAUAUUAUCACCCAGGUACAAUUGAAAGGGGACAACUACGAUGAAUGGGUUCGAGCAGUGCGAACCGCGUUGAGAGCCAAGAAGAAGUGUGGCUUUAUUGAUGGAAUGGUGAAGCAACCCGAUGAGGAUUCUCCCGAUCUGGAGGAUUGGUGGACUGUGAAUUCAAUGGUGGUAUCAUGGAUUCUCAAUACCAUAGAACCAACUCUACGAUCUACCAUAACUUAUAUGGAGAUCGCAAACGAUUUGUGGGAAGAUAUCCGAGAAAGGUUUUCUAUUGCUAACGGGCCUCGAGUUCAACAGAUCAAAGGGGAACUUGCAGAGUGGAAACAGCGAGGACUUCCAAUUGUGACCUACUAUGGAAGGUUGAAGCAAUUAUGGGAAGAACUUGCGAACUAUGAUCAGAUUCCGACAUGUCAAUGUGGAAGAUGCACGUGCAAUCUCUCAGUUCAAUUUGACAAGAAGCGCGAGGAAGAAAAACUCCACCAAUUCUUGUUGGGUUUGGACGACACGAUGUAUGGAACGAUUCGUUCCAACAUUCUAAGCACUGAACCGCUGCCUAGUGUCAGCAAGGCAUACUCUUUGAUAUGUCAAGAGGAGCGUGUCCGGAAUAUGUCAAAAGAAAAGGAGGGACGUGGGGAACCCAUGAGCUUUGCUAUUCAUGCCAACACAGGAGGCAGAAGACCUGGAACUGGGACAAAGGAUAAGCCAGUUUUAUGCUCAUACUGCAACCGUGGUGGACAUGAUGCUGAAAGCUGUUUUCAACUCAUCGGAUAUCCUGAUUGGUGGGGUGAUCGGCCCAAGGGGAUUGGACGCGGAUCAGGACGUGGACGCGGGAACCAAAAUUCAGGACGCGGACGUGGGAGUGCACCUAGAGCUAACUCUGCUCAGAUGGUUAGUCAGUCCUCCUUGUCGGCAGAAGCUGCAAAAGGGGAACAUGCAGCGCAUGGAUUGAUGAGUAGCGACCAGUGGGCUGCCUUUUAAGUUUGCUAAAUUCUUGCAAAUCGGGUACCAAUGAGAAGUUGUCUGGUAAGAAUUCUUUGAACUGGAUAAUUGAUUCAGGCGCCUCCCACCAUAUGACAGGAAGUUUAGCAUGUAUGACUGAUUUGAAAGAAUUAUUGGGCUGUGCAGUGGGGUUGCCGGAUGGCAACCAAACAAUGGCCUUAAAAGAAGGGUCGGUUCGUUUGGGUGAAUACAUAAAGUUGAAAAAUGCACUUUAUGUCCCAAACUUGAAUUGCAAUUUAAUUUCAGUGUCACAAUUGCUUGAUGAAUUAGAUUGUUUUAUCCUAUUCACUAAAAAAUUAUGCGUUAUACAGGACCCUGCUUCGAGGAUGGUGAUUGGAGUGGGUGAACGACGCGAAGGGCUUUACUACCUCAAGUCUAUGGCAGAAAUCAAGGCAUGUAAUGCAAAUCGUCUAGAAACCAUUGACCUGUGGCAUAGGAGAAUGGGACAUCCAUCUACAAAAAUAGUAGAGUUACUUUCUCAGGUUAAUUCUGGUGGUAGUAGUUUAGUUAAAGAAAAACCAUGUGAUAUUUGUUUAAGGGCCAAGCAGACUAGGGCAGCAUUUUAUUCUAGUGAAAAUCAAGCAAAUGAAAUUUUUGAGAUGAUUCAUUGUGAUCUAUGGGGACCUUAUCGAACUCCUGCUUCAUGUGGUGCAUCAUAUUUUUUAACCAUUGUUGAUGAUUGUUCAAGAGCUGUGUGGAUUUAUUUGUUAAUGGUUAAAUCUGAAGUGGAACGUGUACUUCGAAAUUUCUUUGCUAUGAUCAAACGUCAGUACAACAAGGAUGUGAAAAUUGUUAGAAGUGAUAAUGGCAAGGAAUUCACCUGCUUGAAAGAUUAUUUUGCUGAAAAUGGGAUGAUCCAUCAGACUUCAUGUGUGGGAACACCUCAGCAAAAUGGACGUGUUGAGAGGAAACAUCGUCAUAUUCUGAAUGUAGCUAGAGCACUGCGAUUCCAAGCAAAUCUUCCCAUUAAAUUUUGGGGAGAAUGUGUGCUGACCGCUGGAUAUUUAAUAAAUCGGACUCCAUCCAAACUCCUGGGGAAUAAGACACCUUACGAAUGUUUGUUUGGCAAACCACCCAGUUACAAGCAUAUUCGAAUUUUUGGGUGUCUGUGCUAUGCUCGAGACUUGAAUCGAGACAAGGAUAAAUUUGGGAGUAAGAGUCGGCGUUGUUUGUUUGUGGGAUAUCCUUUUGGUAAGAAGGGAUGGAGAUUGUAUGAUCUUGAUACCAGUGAACACUUUGUUUCGCGAGAUGUGGUAUUUUCAGAGAAUGAGUUUCCAUAUGAUAGUGCACCAGAUGCACCUCGAGGUGUUCCGGGGCUAAAUUCUUUUGAAGUCUUUGAUCGCACCAUAGAGGAAGUGGUUGAUAAAAGAGAAGACAUUCUGAUAGAAGAUAUUCCAAGUGAAACAUCAGAAAUCACAAACCGGGUUCACAGUGAAGAGAAUAACGAAGAAAGAGAGGGUGCUGGAACUGAAGAGAUUGAGGUAGUUGAUGAACAACUUGGGCGAGGUCAUCGAAUAAAGCGCUCAUCUAGUCGUCUAAAAGAUUAUGUGACAUAUACUGCUAGACGCAUAAGCCCUUCUGCAUGUUUACCCACACCAAUUCCAUUCUCAGGUACUCCUUAUCCUAUAGCGCAUUAUGUGAAUUGUGAUAAAUUUUCUAUGUGUCAUCGAUCAUUCUUAGCAGCAGUAACAACUGGUAAAGAGCCAACCUUUUAUGGUGAGGCGGUGAAGGAUUCUCGAUGGAGACAAGCUAUGGCAAGUGAAAUUGAGGCGCUUGAAAAGAAUGGGACAUGGACAGUGGAAGAUCUACCACCAGGAAAGAAAGCGAUCGGUAGCAAAUGGGUGUACAAAAUCAAGUAUAAUUCUGAUGGAACAAUUGAGCGGUAUAAGGCACGAUUGGUGAUUCUUGGCAAUAAUCAGGUUGAGGGGAUUGACUACAAUGAGACGUUCGCUCCUGUUGCAAAAAUGGUAACAGUUCGAACUUUCUUGUCUGUGGCAGCAGCGAAGGACUGGGAACUCCACCAAAUGGAUGUUCACAAUGCAUUUUUACAUGGAGAUUUAGCAGAGGAAGUGUAUAUGAAGAUGCCUCCGGGUUUUGCAACUCCCCAACCAGGAAAGGUAUGUCGAUUGCGAAAGUCUCUUUACGGGUUGCGACAAGCUCCAAGGUGUUGGUUCGCUAAACUCACUAAUGCCUUGCAGCGGUAUGGCUUUACUCAAUCUUAUUCUGAUUAUUCGUUGUUUACUCUGAAUCAAAACAACAUACAAAUAUGUAUUCUGGUGUAUGUUGAUGAUCUUGUGAUUGGGGGAAAUAAUAGUGCUGCAAUUCAGAAAUUUAAGAAAUAUUUAUGUCAGUGCUUUCAUAUGAAAGAUUUGGGAGUAUUGAAAUAUUUCUUAGGUAUGGAAGUUGCCAGAAAUAAGAGUGGCAUUUUUCUUUGUCAACGCAAAUAUGCGUUGGAUCUUAUUACUGAAGUUGGUUUAUUGGGUUCCAAACCAACUAGUUUUCCGAUGGAGCAGAAUCAUCGCUUGGCAAUGGCGGAGAGCAUGCCCUUAACAGACCCAGAAAAGUAUAGACGUUUAGUCGGAAGAUUGAUCUAUUUGACACUUACACGACCUGAGUUGUCUUAUGGUGUGCAUGUUCUUGCUCAGUUUAUGCAAAAGCCAAAAGAAGAACAUUGGGAAGCAGCUUUGCGCAUGGUUCGUUACUUGAAAGGUAGACCUGGUCAAGGUAUAUUUCUCCGAUCAGACUGCAAUCUACAGUUGCGCGCAUACUGUGAUUCUGAUUGGGCAAGUUGCCCAUUAACUCGUCGCUCACUCACUGGAUAUUUUGUUUUGCUGGGAAACUCACCCAUUUCCUGGAAAACUAAGAAGCAACAUACUGUGUCCAGGUCAUCUGCUGAAGCGGAAUAUCGAUCUAUGGCCACCACGAUUUGUGAACUAAAAUGGUUGAAAGGGUUGUUGGGUUCUCUAGGGGUAAUGCAUUCUAGACCUAUGAAACUUUAUUGUGACAGCCAAGCAGCCAUGCAUAUUGCGGCAAAUCCUGUGUUUCAUGAACGAACAAAGCAUAUAGAAGUUGACUGUCAUUUUGUGCGCAAUGAAGUUCAAAAUGGAAAUGUAGAAACUACAUAUGUACGUAGUUCAGAGCAGUUAGCCGACAUUUUCACCAAGGCGCUUGGGAAACAACAGUUCGAGUAUCUUCUUUACAAGUUGGGCGUUCGAGAUCUCCACGCACCAACUUGAGGGGGGGUAUUGGAGAUUGCAGAAUAUUGUGUGUAUAUUUUGUGCAUAUAUUUGGGCUGUAAUUGCGUAAAGAUAGGAGCUCUGUUUUUGGUAGUUAUUCUUUGGUAAUUGUUUUGGUAGUCGAGAUAGAGUAGGAAUUGAUUUCCUUUUGGUAGUUACGGUAGAAUUAGGAACCAUUACCUUUUUCGAUUUUGGCUUUGCUUUGUAUAUAUUUUGGGGCCUGAGGGUCAUGAAAGGAUGGGAAGAUUUUUUCCACAAUUUCUUUUCAAAUACCAAAUAUGAAUAGAAUAUAUUAAUUAAUACAAUAUUUGACUAAAAUUAAGAGAAAAAUAAUUAUAAAUUUAAUAAGAAAAAUGCAACCUAUCAACUAUCAAUCCUCUAUUUUUAAAAUGUUGGAAUUUCAAAAUGCAACAAACAUUUAACACCUCUUCAAUGACUAAAUAGAAAAAAAUAUGUUUUGUCCAUGCAAAGCAUGACACGUAACAUCCAAGCUAAAGUGAAUACGUGUUAGUAGCAGAUAGGUCAAGUGCAGGAGAAUGAGGAAUGGGGCCGAGCUAAUAAAAUAAUUAAAACUAAAAAGGAAAGUGCAAAUGUCAAAGGAAGUGGGGGCAUGAUGAUAAAUGCAGCCUGCACAAAGCAGGGUCCGGGGACGUAAAUGAAAGGACUGAAGUGCAAUUUUUUUGGGGCCAGUAUUUGGUCGGUAAUAUAUAGUGUGUUUGGAUAUCAAAAUUAUUUUAAAUAAUAUUUUAUUUACAUCACAAAUAAUUUGAAAUUUGUUUUUUUGACAAGAUUUCAAAGAGUUUGUAACAGUGGAAGUAAUGCAACCAAAUUAUAACUCUAAUCAACCCACAAAUGGUAUAAAAGGCUUGGAUAUAUUGUUCACCAAGGACUGAUUUGGCGUAUGACAAUAUAAAGAAAUAAAGUGUUCAUUAUACUUUGUCUUUUGCCUGUGGGGUCAAAAUUUAGUACAGCAAAAUUUAUUUUUUUUUUAAAAAAGUUACUAACAUUAUAUACAGGCUAUAAUUGUACCCUAUGAAUUUUUUUUUUAAAUGUUGCAAAAUCAAUUCAUUAUCAAUUUUGUUAAAUGCAUAUUUUUCAAUGUAAGUAACUGAACCUCUUGAAUUUUUUAAAAUAAUCUGCGAAUCAUCAUCAACUUGAUCUUCUACAGGUUUAUUUUAUAAAAUUUAUCUUUAUCCUAUUAUAAAUAAAAAUCAUAAUAACUUAAUUUCAUAUUAUAAAUAAAAAGUUUACCAUCCACUUGAAUAAUUCUUGUUUUUGAAGACUUUGAAGUUUGAAAAAAAAAUUGAUUUUCUCACUCCACUCAAAAAAGUUCACACCUUGUUUUUGGAAAUUUUAGAUGAAUUUAGUCUUGAACUAACUUUCAUAGAUAAUUUGAAAUAAAUUCAAAAUUAUUGUGAUAGUAAGAAUUAUGAAUCUUCAAUUUUUUUGGGGUCAAUGUAUAUAGGAAAUAUAAUUUGAUAAAAUAUAGUGGGAUCAAAUAAGAUGCAACUUUAAAAUUUUUUAAAUUUCGUAAACCUAAGAACUAAUUUUUCAAAGUUAAGUGGGGUCAAUUGACCCCACUUGCUUGUAUGUGGCUCCGUCACUGUCUUUUGUUGCCCCUAACUAUUUCCAAAACUUAUAUUUUUGGAAUAACAAAUAUUUGUAGGUGUCGCAGAAGUGUUCAUGUGUAUCAACUAUUAUUGGUUAAAACUUAGAGGCAAUGUCCAAAAUUGUCACUAAAUUAUUUAAAAUGUUACGAUUUGAUCACCCAAUUUUUUUAUGGCAAAAAAGGUCACUCAACUGAAAAAAAAACGCUAUUCAAAUCAUUUUGUCAAUUUGUAUAGGUAAAUCGUCCGGUUUCUCCCUCUAUUUAUCCUUGUAUCCAGAAAGACUACCAACACACACUGAAACUUCUCGUCGCACAUCACCAAAAUGCCACCAUUUUCACCAUCUUCCUGGAUUUUGACACCCUCCUCUCUAGUAUAGUUCUUCUUAACAGUGCUCCUUGUGAAAGUGCUGAGGGCGGUCUUAACAGCUGCUUCUCAUGAAAGAAUCCAUAAAGCAUUUUAAGUGAAUGCAACAAAAGUGAAGAAAGUAGAAUUGGAAAGGAAUAAAAAAGAAUAAUUGCAAAGAAAAAGAAAUCUUUUUUUGGAUUCAUUUUUCCUCUAUUUUCUUUAGGUAGAAAGAUAGAACUCUUUUCAUGAUUCAUUGGCCAUGGUCACCACCUCACCAUCUUGACCAACAUUCUCAAAUUGUUUCCUUAUAUAAAAGAUAAAACCCAAAGCAAAUGUCGACUUUUUUUUGUUUUAAAAAUUUGCCUAAAGGGUAUUGAGAUCUGAGGAGAUUACACGGGGAACUGAAAAUGGAAGCCAUCCAAGAAAAAUAUCUUUACCGUGUGUUUGUCCGUCUAUGUUAAAGGGAGAGAGAGAGAGAGAGAAUUUGUUUGCUGAGAGACAGAGAAAGGAUAAAGAUUGGGGGAGUUAAAGAAAAAGAGGGAGAGACUAGAGAUGAGGCGGCGACAAAAUGACUCGACCAGGGAUGAGUGAGGAUUGAGGAGACAUUUUUUCCCAUGGGAGAAUGUUGGUCCAACACAAGUAACAGUGUAACCGGAUGGUUUACCGGUAGAAAUUGACAAAAUUAUCUCAAUGUCACUUUUUUCAGUUGAAUGACUUUUUUGACCAUAAAAAAUGUUAGACGAGCAAAUCGUGCCAUUUUGAAUAAUGUAGUAACUAUUUUGACUAUUCACUCAAAAAUUUAUUAAUAUUAGUAGAGCAAAUGACAACAAAUAUCACUAAACUUUUAAGUUCUACGUCUUUUGGUCAUUAAAUUAUUUUUUUAGCAGAAAAUGUCACUCAACUCUAUAAAGGGUGUUUUUUUUUUGUCCUUCCAUCUAAUUUUGGCGUAAAUUCUUAAAUUGUGAUGAAAAAAAAGGUUUUUCUACUAGAGGGAUUGUUUUUGGGGCUGAUUCUAGAAGUAGAAUCUUCGCAUUUAUGAAAUGUGAAGUCUUCGCAUUUGAUAAAUGCGAGGUUCAUGUUUUUGAAAAAAAAAAAUGAUAAAGGUUUUAGGCUUAAAAAAAAAAAAGAAGUGCCAAACGCUUGCAUUUGCUAACUAUCUUCCCGACUAAACUCAUCUUCAAAACCGCGGGCGGUUACUGCCUCGGUUACUGAUCAGACAUUCAAAUACAGUUCCUUUUUCCACACUUUGAACUAAUACUCUCCAAAUCAACAUCCCAUCUUUUAAACAAGAUCAUUUUACCCCUUUUAGUGCAAACUCACCUCGUUUACCUCAUGCGAGUUUUAAAAAUAAAAAGUGCUAUUCAACAUAUUGGAUAGCUCUCUCUUAAACCCAUGGUAAAACUAAAUAAUAUCACUAAUCUAACAAAUACUAAAUACCAACCCAAUUAAUAUUUCGUAGUUAGAAUUAGAUUUUUAAGAUAUUUGAAGUAAGCCUUAGGACAACUAAUUCUACGUCAACUACGCAUCAACUACUGUUAUUGUAUAUCUAGUACUCAAUUUUUUUUUCCGAAACGAUAGAAAUUUUAUAACAUGAAAAACUGUACACUUUUGGAGCAAAGGCUCCUAUCUUUACAAGAGUGCAUUUAGCACUACAAAGUGGCGUAGUCCCACUCCAUAUCACAAAAAUUCAAAAGAGCAAUUUUGCUCAAACUGUAGCAUAAGCUAUCAGUGUCUUCAUUCAAUCUUCCAAAAGAGCACAUUCGAAACCAUAGUGACAUUUGCUGGACGUCCUCCAUGAUAGCUUCUAUUGCUAUAGUCCAUGCUUUCCCAUUUUGAAACCGUGCCAGCAUGUUUUUGUUUUCAAACCGUAUGUUGAUUUUUCUCCAUCCUUUCCUUGCUGCCUUGACCAUGCAUAAUCUCACUGCCUCUGCCAGGUCUUGAUCUUUGUUUCCUGAUGGUCUCUCUCUUAGUGACCAGGCUGCUAACCCUUGGUUUGCAGCAGUCGAAGCUGUGAUGCCAAUGCCAAAGGAGUUGUAUUGCUUCUGGUGCUGGAUUGCGAGCUUCAGAGUUACAGCCUCAGCAUCUGCCUGUUCCCCUUGUCCAUUUCCAUGUUACCUUCUUGUUUCUGCUGUGCUCUUCCUCGGAUUGUGUUGAACUGCAUCCAUGUGUUCUUUCCAUUCCUUAGUUGCCUUUUCAUUUACUUUAAAAGGCUCCUGUUGUAAGGAGUUGAAGACUCUUGCAUUUCUAGCUUUCCAAAUCUGCCAUAGCACAUUAACUGUUAAGGCUAUGUGAUCUUCACCAUCGUUCCUAGUUCUUGCAUUCAUCAUCAUGUUCCACCACUGUUUGAAGCAUCCAGUUUGGUCUUGUAGUCCAUCCCAUUGUACCAAUGCAAAUUUCCAUAUUUCUUUUGCUUUCUUGCACUGCAAUAGUACAUGCUCAAUGGUCUCCACGCUCUCUCCACACCCACAACAAACCGGAUCUCCUUUCCUUGUUCUGUUGAAAAUUUGAGCCUUGACUGGUAGCCCAUUGUUGAUGUAUUUCCACACAAAUAUUUUCAUUUUGUGUUUAAUAGGCAUCUUCCAUAAAGCUUCCCAUAGUUCCCUGUUUGUUUGUUGAUAGCUGCAUCCCUCCUCUUUGCUUCUUUGUUUGUUAAAGCUUCCAUAUAUCUAGUACUCAAAGUUUAGUAAAAUUGUAGCUCUAUUAUCAAUGAAGUUGUACAAUGUCGUAUGCGCAUUACUUCUAUCAUUAUUAUUUGACUAGAUAAUAUUGUACAUCUUUGUCAAAGAAAAAUGUUAUUUUUAAACUAGAUGUUAAUAUGAUAAUUAACUAAUUCAAUAACUUGCUCAGCAAUAGGCAUAAUUAGAUAGCAUAGGAAGUGCUUGAAUUUAAAAAGCAUUUACAGCAGGCACAAAUCUAAUUAUGGGACCAGGUAAUAUUAGUGUUCUGUUAAUGUGAAAUUCAAGAUCAAUGGAUAAUAACCUAAAUAUUCAUUCUCUGAAAUUUUACAAAAUAAAAAACAAAACCCACACUCAAAAGAAAAACUAAAAUGGUUUGCUUGAAUAUAUAUAUAAAAAAAUAGAAAUGCAUGAGCAUGAAUUUAUUAAUAUUCAAAAACUAACAAAUGCGAGGUCUGAAGCAUUUUUUUUUUUGGGUUUUUGCAAGUCAAAAAUUCAAUGAUAAAUCGCAUCUGUGAAAUGCGAACUCAGUGAGCUCGCAUUUUGCAAAUGCGAACAUCACUUCACGGAAUGUUAUACUCAAAAAGCUGCAUUUGUAGAAAAAUUUUAAAUUUCAUUAUAAAAUUAGGAAUUUCUGGGUUAAAGAGAUGGAAAGCCAUGCAUGUGAUGUCCACAAGCAUUUUUGAAGAGUAAAAAUGUCUCACAAAUAUUUGAAGGACAAUUUGAGAAAGAAAAAAAAUGUUUUGGGAAUCAAUAUAGUUACAUCAGAUAAUUAGGGACUUUAACUAAAUUAUAUACAAGUCCCUAACCUAUAUUUAGUUUUCAAAACAAGAACAAAGGCACUCGGCCUUUACUUCAUCCUUACCAGCAUCUACUUAUCAAUAAAGAGAUUCAAACCCACUAAAAUAGUAUUUUUUUUCUGCCCACAAGAGUCAAAUGGAAUUGGUAUUCAACUCAUCUCUCUUACAUAUUAUUCUCAAUAAAGAACUCUCAUAAAACCAUCAAUUUCUUUUCUUUAGUCACUCAUAUUCUAGAUGAGAAGAAGAAGUAGAGAAAAGUUAGAGAAGAAAAGGGGUAGAGACGAAUCACUGAACAAAACAAGAACUCGGAUCCUUAAGAUAAGAACUCCUAGAUCUGGAAGGAUCGUAACGGUCCCCGUCAACAGAUAUUUUCAUCCAAAUAUCGGGGUAGUGAGAGAAAAAUGGUUCUAUGUAGUCACAGGCACUCUCAGCGUACUUCCUAGUCUCAGCAUAUUCCCGAUCAAUAAAUCUAAAUGUCAAAUUAAACUAAGUAAUGGAGAAAUUGAACUCUUGACUCAUUAGACGGAAGCGAAUCACAUUUGGGGUAUCUACAAUAUACCCCGUAGGCAAGUCGAACUCAAAAGUGUAGUAAAACUCUCUAACCAGUUCAACAAAACAGGACAGAAAAUGUCAAUAUAAGGUCGCCAACCAAUAGCGGUAAACAUCCGCUCAACCUUUUCCCUUAUACCCAGUGCACUCAUGAUAAGUUUGUCAAGACAUUUACAGGGAUGAUACGCUGCUCGGAGCACACAGCAUAUCGCUGUUUAUCAGCGGCUUUAGUGAGUUUAGAUGACCCCCAAAGUGAGAGGGUGUAGCAACAUGGACACCUUUACCCCUAUCUAGAUGUGUUCAGACACCCGAGGAAGACGGUUGGUUGAUAGGCUCAUUAACAGGAAUGGUGGGUUGAGGUGUAGUAGGUUGAUAUUUAGGAGUUUUAGACUUGGAAGUGGAAUUUUACUUAACCAUAGUCUCUACCAAUCAACCCAAUCAACAAGAGAAACAGAAUUCUACCGAAUAUAUGAAGCAAGUAAUCCAGAUGUGGCAACUAUGUCCAAUGCAACAAUCAACUCAAAAAGCACAGUUUAUUGCUCAAUUUAUCCACUCAAAGUCUUAGUAGAUGUCCCAAGCAAAUCAGUCAUUCAAUUAACAGGCAGAUUACUCCCAACAAUGUAAUUUAAUUCAACCAAUUAAUAAUGCAGCCACAGAAUCCUCAAUUUAGUCCAAAAAUUGAUUCCAGCAACUCAACACAAUAAUUUAGCAAAAUGAUUUUCAGUGAAGUCCAGAAUGCAACUGCAAAAAUUAAUACUCCAGAGGUUUGCCAAGUGAUUGAGACAAAGAGAUACCGUCACACCGUUGACCGGCAACAAUUCUUGGCGAUAAGUGAGCCGCAAAGAGAGGCGAUGGUGACUGGAAGGGCGACUCCUAGGUGGUUACAGACUGCGCGGAUGUAGGAGGGAGAGGGGCGUUGAAAUGCGACGAACGACUGGGGUUGAUAGCGUUGGUGGAGGAUGAGGCAGCUAAUGAAGUGCGGUGACGACAGUGGCGGCGUGCAAGGGAUGGUGGCGGAGUUCACGUUAGUCACUUGAAGCGCGACAGUGGCGGCGGUCAACUUGGGGGAGGGAGCGACAACGAAGAAACAGAGAGACGGACAGAGAGAGAGAGAGACAGCGAGCUCUAGCGACGGCGUGCGUCUAUCGAUUGAGCGGUGAAGCAGCGAUGGAUGUCUAGGUGGGGGUUGGGCUUCGGCCGAAAGGGAAAAAAAAGGAAAUAGGGGAAGAAGAAAGAAAGAAAGAGAAAGAAAGAAAAAGAAAGGAAGAAAGAAAGAAAAAGAAAUAGGUGCGGCGAUUUUUUUUUUAUUUUAAAUUUAAAAUUAGAGAUUUGAAAUUUAAAAUUUGAAUUUAAACAAAAAUGUAAAAAAAAUUUCAAUUUUUUAAUUAAUGAAUUAUAUAUAUAUAUAUACAUACCUUUCUCUCGAACACGACGUGAGCACGUUCUGGACGUAAGAACCCUUCUAAUGAAGAGUUGUUGAAUUAAAAGCUACCACAUGCUCGGUUGAUACAGGUGCAUUAUAAGGGUGGAAACCCUUCUAAUGGGGAGUUCGAGAAUUGCUCAUUACCACGCGCCCUAUUGACCCGGGCGCGUCAUGUCAGUCAGUCCGCUCUAAGAUCGAAGAAAGAGCUCUCCAGGUGAUUUGACGCGGGCACGUCAUGAGGGUGCAAACCCUUCUGAUGAAGCACCUGGGAAUUGCACAUUACCACGCACCCCAUUGACGCGGGAGUGUCACGUCGGAGGAACACCUACUAAUCAUCAAAAAUGAAAAAUUAAAUCAAAAAUUUGAGAAAACUUUUAGAAAACAUAUUGAAGCUAUCAACUAGAACUGAACAAAGAAGUAAAAAAAUUAGGUUACCUCCUAAUAAUCGUCUUUCUUUAAUGUGUUUCGCUAGACAUAGUUAGUCGCCCUUAACAUUCCUGAGACGGCUCUUUGAGGUGCAGCAUCUCUCCCUCUUCCACUGGCAAUCCUUCAUAAUAAAAUUUAAUACGGUGGCUGUUGACGACACAUUUCUUCUCGGUCUUUAAAUUUUGUAUUUCUACUGCACCAAAGUGAAAAACAUUAGUCACUACAAAAGGAUCAAUCCACCGAGAACACAGUUUACCUGGAAAUAACUUAAGUCACGAUUGGUAGAGCAGAACCUUUUGGCCAACGACAAAAGUUUUUCUUGAGAUCUGCUGAUCAUGAAAAGAAAAACUUUAUUUUUCUCCAUAUAAAUGGUCGCUCUUUAGUUUGUCCCUCUUUGCUUUGGGCCAAUCUGCAGGUAAUUUGCCAAUUAUUAGGUAAUUAACUAAAUCAGCAUACCAAGGCAAUUUAGAAUUUAGCGAAAAUAAUUGUUCAUCAGGGAAUGUAUCCCUCAAUGGCACGUUCUCCUCUCCAACUGGUAUGCAACUUAAAUGGUCAGUUACCAAAUUCUUCGAGUCUCUUUUAUCCCUUAUUUCCAGAUCGAAUUCUUGCAAGAGCAAUAUCCACCUUAUUAGCCUCGAUUUUGCAUCUUUCUUCAUCGUCGAGUAUCUCAGAGUUGCAUGAUCAGAAUAUACAACAACUUUAAUUCCUAAUAAAUAUGACCUAAAUUUCUCUAAAGCAAAGACAACUGCUAAAAGCUCCUUUUUUAUGGUGGAGUAAUUCAAUUGAACUCAAUUCAAAGCCCUUGAUGCGUAGUAGAUGGCAUGGGUUGCUUUUCCUACUCUCUGUCCCAACACUGCUCCCACUGCAUGAUCACUGGCAUCACAUAUGAUCUCAAAUGGGAGAUUUCAAUCAGGAGGUUCGAUGAUCGAUGGCGAUGUGAAUAGCUCACUUAACUUGUCGAAUGCUCUCUCACACUCGACAUCGAAGUCAAAAGUUGCAUCUUUUUGUAAGAGUUUGAACAGGGCAGAUCCAAUUUUCGAGAAAUCCUUAAUGAACUUUCGGUAAAAACCUGCAUGUCCAAAAAAAAAAUACAUUUUCCGCACACUCGCGGGGUAAGGUAAAGCAGAUAAAAUGUCUAUUUUAACCUGAUCAACCUCAAUACCCUUAGAAGAUACUACAUGACAUAGAACUAUCCCGUACUCAACCAUAAAAUGACAUUUUUUCAAUUAAACACGAGAUUAGUUUCUAUACAUCUAAACAAGAUCAAUUUCAGAUUAUCUAGACAAUUAUCGAAACUAUCACCAUAUACACUAAAGUCGUCCUUGAAAAUUUUAAUAAUUUUUUCAACAUAUUCUGAAAAAGUGCUCACCAUACAUCUCUAAAAUGUCACAGGGGUAUUGCACAAUCCGAAAGGCAUUCACCUGUAUGUGAAAGUUUCAAACGGACACGUGAAGGUGAUCUUCUCUUGAUUCUCUGGUGCGAUUGCAAUUUGAAAAUACCCUGAAAAUUCGUCCAAAAAAUAAUAGUGAGCUCGAUAAGCUAACCGCUCAAUCAUUUGGUCAAUAAAAGGAAGGGAAAAAUGGUCAUUUUUCGUGACAGCGUUUAAUUUUUGGUAGUUGAUACAUUGCCGCCAUUCGGUGGGUUUGCGUACUGGCAUAAGUUCACCCUUCUGAUUGGCCUCCACUGUCAUUCCUGUAUCGGGUUACCUGUAUCGGGCUCACCCACGGACUGUUUGAUAUUGCGUAUACGAUUCCCACAUCUAGCAAUUUUAGUAUUUUUUUUUCACCAUUUCCAUCAUGAGAGGAUUGAGACUCCUUUGAACUUGCUUUACAGGUUUGGCAUCCUUUUCGAGCCUUAUUCGGUACAUACACAUAGAGGGACUGAUCUCUUCAAUGUCAGCGAUGGUCCAUCCUAUUGCCUGCUUAUACUCUCUAAGAACUCGGAUUAACUUGUCUUCUUGGGUUUCCAACAGUCUCGCCAAGAUAAUCACCGGAAGCAUUUCUUUCUCGCCCAAGUAUGCAUAUUUCAAGUGUUUCGGUAAAGGUUUUAAUUCAAGUACAGGUGCCUGCACCACAGACGAUAGUACCUUUUGGUAAGAUUCGGGUAUAAAAAUAGGUGUGAGCUCAUACAUUGUCGUCGUGGUUGGCAACGAGUGUAACGCUCCAAUCAUACACUUCAGAUCUUCACUCAAUUCUACCUCAUGAAUUGUGUCUAACUCGAAGUGUUUGGUUAGAACAACUUCUAAUUCAUUCCUACCCACAAAUUCAAAUACUACCUGCACCGCAGGAUCAAUAGCACUUACGAAAAAAAUAGAGUUAAAAUUAAAGUUCGAGAGGUAUUUCAUGGUUUCAAAAAUAUUGAAAUGAACAAUUUUUUCAUUAAAUUUUAUGAACAAGAUACCCUUAUUAACAUCAAUUUUUGUCUGGAUUGUGCUAAAAAGGGUGUACCUAACAACAAAGACGAGGGGUCGAGGGAAUGAUCAUCAUCUAUGUCAAGUACAUAAAAAUUAUAUGGGAAUACCAAUUCUUUAAUUUUAACCAACACAUUCUUGGCCAACCCAUCAGUAUAUUCAUUUGUUCGGUCAGUUAAUCGAAUUAUUAUCUCAGUUUCUUUUAACGGACCAAGGUUCAAAGAAGUAUAGAUAGAUUUAGGCAUUACAUUGAUUGAUACUCCUAAGUCCAAUAUGGCAUUUCUAAUCAAAGUAUUACCUAUCCUACAGGGGAUAGUCAACAUACCUGGAUCUCUACAUUUCAGUGGAAGAUUCUUCUAUAGAAUCGCUGACACAUUCUCCCCCACAAUGACUCUUUCAUCUCCCCUCAAUCUUCUUCGUUGACGCACAAAUCUUUCAAAAACGUCGCGUACUUUGGCACUUGUUUGAUUGCAUCUAGUAGGGGAAUGUUGAUUUCUACCUUGCGGAAUACCUCCAAGAUCUCUUUCUCUUUGUCCUGCUUUUUCGAUUUCUCCAACCUGCUAGGAAUGGGAGGCGAAUUAGUUUUAACUUCAAUGAUUAGGUCAGGGAGUACCCCUGGAUUUUUACUGUUUCUAUCCUCCUCCUCAAGCUCUUUCUCGAUCUUUUCUUCAUCCUUGUCCUUUGGAGUCACGAGUUCGGAUCUCUGAAUUUUCUUCCCGUUCGUUAAGGUCAUUGCACUUACAUUCUUUGGAUUCAGUUCAAGUUGAGAUGGCAAUUUUUCGUGAACUUGGGAUUCCAGACGGUUGAUUGAUAUUGCCAUCUGACUUAUCUGAAUCUGCAUUGCUUGCAUCUGAUCCAUUUGAUUCCUUAAAUUUUAUAAGUCAGAUUCUGUCUUUUGUUGACAUUGCAUAUUACUAACAAUUAAUUGUUUCAUCAUUUUUUCUAAAGACAGGCUUGAACUUGGAGGAGGUGGUGGCUGCCGAGGUUAGUAUUGCUGUUGAUAUCUUUGCUGUCUAUUCAAUGCAAAAUUUGAUUGUCUAUUUCCUCCAUAACUGAGGUUAGGGUGAUCUCUCCAACCCGGAUUAUACAUGUUCGAAUACAGAUCAUAUGGCUUUCUUGGCGCAGGCGCAUGACCAACCAUGUUUACUUGCUCUACACUUUCUUCUUAAAUCAUUGGAUACAUCUCUGUAGAAUGGCCCAUGGCAGUACAAAUCCCACAUACCUUGGCUUGUGGUGCAUUUUCUACAGUCAAUUGCCUAACAAAAGAUGUUAACUCGAAUAGUUGUUACAGGAUAGAGGAUGUUUCUAUCUCAUUUACUCUAUGUAUCAGGACAUCCUCCCUUGUGCCAAACUGCUGCGAGCUCUCGGCUAUCCCUUUAAUCAACUCCCAUGCUUCUCGAGAAGUUUUGUUUACCAACGCCCUUUCACUUGCAGUAUCAAUAAUACUCAUGUCUCUAAAAAGUAGCCCCUCGUAAAAGUACUGGAUAAGCAAUUGCUCGCUUAUUUGGUGUUAAGGGUAUUUGAUGCAUAACUUCUUGAAUCUCUCCCAGUAAUCAUAGAGCGACUCCCCUGGAUAUUGUUUGAUAGCGCAUAUCUCCUUCCUCAGACUUGUAGCUCGAGACGUAAAAAAAAAAAUUUUCAAUAAUUUUUUUUUAGCUGCUCCCAAGUGGUGAUACUACCUGGAGGUAGGUAGUACAACUAGUCUUUUACUGAGUCCUUGAGAGAAAGGAAAUGCCCUCAUUUUUAUUUGUUCUUCCGUAAUUUUCGAAAGUUUCAUACUGUUACAAAUAAUAUCAAACUCUUGAAAGUGCUUAUGAGACUCAUCACCUGAUAAAUCAUGAAAAGAUGGUAAAAGAUAAUUAGACCAGAUUUUAACUCAAACAGGGUGUUAUCAUUUAAAUUUGAAAAAGUAAUGCAUAAGCGCUGCUGAUUUAAAUUAGGAGCAGCCAGAUCCUUCAAUGUUCAUGCAUUAGCCAUAGUGAUUUCUUCUCGAUUCGGGUCACUCGAAAUAUCAUCAAGCGAACUUGUUAAUUCAACUUCUGGAUCAAGUCUCCGAGAUGCAGCACUAGAUUGCUCUUCCCUGAGCUGUCUGGUCUCUUUUCGCUUUUGGCACGUGAUCUUCUCUACUUCAGGAUCAAAAAUUAAUUUACCCGUACGAGAAGAACGAGGCAUAAACUAGAAAAAUACUAGAAAAUUAAAACGAGAAUUAACUUAAAAAGAAACAAAUUAACUAACGACAGUCCUUGACAACGGCGCCAAAAAUUGACAGGUGUCGAGUUUGUGCAAUAAUAAAUACCUGUUCAAAUAAAGUAUCGAUUUUGUAUACAGUGGUAAGCAGGGUCGAAUCUACAGGAAUUAGGGGUAAUUCGUUUCUUCUAGAAUUCAAGAUAUGGGGAAUUUUAUAAGAAUUAACAAUAAGCUAUGCUACUCGAAUAUUUCAAUUAAAUAAAAAUUAAAUGACAAAUUAUAAAAAUUCAAAUGGUAUUGGACAAACUCUAGUCAAGAAGCAACUUCGAAAUGGUUUUCCUAAUUGAUCAUCGAUGUAAGAAUAAUUCCACUUAUAAACUGAUAAAUAAAUUAUAAUUGUCAAACAAGCGAUGACAAUCAAUUUCUCCUUAAUUAUCGAUAGCCAAGGUACGACCGUUAGCUACUACCCUAAUUACGAAAUAACUCUAGGUACGACCGUAAAAUUCAAUUCCCCAAUUACCUUACGAAUUAGAGAAAUCUGUUCUAAUUAAACAAUACACUACGAGGGUUGUUUCAAAUUAGUCCGUAUAUUUCUCUGACACAAACCAAUCAUGCCAGUUUUCACUAGUUUUGAAUAAUUAAACAAUUACAGAUUUAAUUACUCUAAUUGGUUUUAGGUUAUCGAAUUAGUCUAAGAUCUGGGCCCCGGAUAAUUGAAUAAUAUGACAACCAUAAAAAUAUAAAGUAGGAAAUAUACGAAUACCAGAAAAUAAUAGGAAAAAGUAAAUUAGUUUGAUCUCACAAUUUAAGUUGAACCAAGUCCUCCGUUGUUCAUUGAUUAGAAAUAAAAGUUUAGUUCAUCUCUAUUGAGAGAAUCCCAUGCAAAAUUGCUGAAGUAAUUGUCGCGUACAUCGUCUCUCAAUUGAAAUGAAAAAUCCGAUGGAAUAAGAAUAAGGAAAGAUUACAAAGUCAAAAGAAUGACUAAUGUUUCUUCCUUGGGAUCAGUCAUAUGAUGGAAUCAGAAAAUAGGAAUUAGCCAAAAGCCAAAAGCUAGAUUCCUCCUAUUUUCUUAUGGCGGCUGGCUCUCCAAAAGCUAAGUGGAGUCCUCAUCUCAAUUGACUUCUGUCUCCUAUUCAGUCGCAGCCAACAAACUAGGAAAUCUCCUAAUUGGCAAGCUUCCUUUUUGUGCUAAACUACCUUUAUCAAUUCAAAUCAAACAAUCAACUAAUGGAAUGUUUGCGGCCCCAUGUUGCACUUCCAAUUGGCAGUUGGUGUUACGCGCCUUUCUCGCAUUUUCUGGACACGUUGAGACCUGACUUGACGCUACUACGCCAAACAGCAAUUGUAGUGGAAAAUUUGCACCUUUUUACCACAUUUUAUUCCAACUCCCUGCAAUCAAUACAAAUUUUCAAAAGUGAGUAGAAUCCACCAAUUAAUACACAUUUGGUAAGAUAAUAUGAGAGAAUUAAUUAUAAAAUAAAUGACAAAGUUGUGACCUAUCAUUUAUGCCAAAUAAAAGUCUUCCCAUACACAUGAUAUCAGCAUGGUACUACAUAUCUAUAAACAAACAUUUACAUAUCCGAUUUCUCUAGUUUUUUUUGGCAAGAGAGAUGAUAAGACUAUUAAAGAAGCCUUUGCCCAUGCGGAGAAGCUUUGCUGCAUUCUUCGCAAACCUAUGGAAUAUGUCAGGUAUAAUAGCUUCUCCAAAAUGACUUGCGAGUAUGGGUUCGUAAACUCUGUUUGUUUUAGAUAUCAACGUGUCAUAGCAUGAGUUAGUACUACUCUGUUUGUGUGUUAAGAGAGAGAUAGAGAGACUGACUGACUUGGUAAGAUGAAUUCUUUGCGUAGCUUGUGUCACCUUCGCCCCUAUUCAUAUGCAGUAUUUGUUGGAGUUCCAUUUCUGAUCUCUAGUUCUUAAUCGAAUCGGGACUGCUGAAGAAAGUGUCGGCUAAUGAUUGAUAGUAGAACGAAGUUUGGGACUUAAAUAGCGGAAUUUUCUUAAAUUCGUGUACUAACUGACUACAUACGGGUGUGAAGUGCAUUUGAAUUGACAGAAAAUCUGUCAACUGGUCAAAGAGAAAGCCACUUCACACACAUACGUAGCUAGUUAGUAGAUGGAUUAAUGAAAGAGAAAGGCACAGCCAAUGAGAACGAGACACGAAGUAAAUGGUAUGCAUAACACUGAAAAGUUGUAUCACUUCUUCCAUCCCAUUAAAAGUAUAAUAACUUCUAUUUUGAAACAUUCCAAAAUGUUUGUCAAAUUAAAGUCACUUUUGAUUUUUUUUUCAAUGUUGUCCUCAUCUUUAUUGAUAUUUUAUACUAAAUUCAAAUUUAAAAUUUGAAUUUUUAAAGGUAAUUGUGGAAACAAAUCCUCUAACAACACUAUCAAUCCACUAUUAUUAAAAAAUUGAAAUCCUAAAAUGCAACAAACAUUUCGGAGAGAGUAUAAUUCAAAGAAUUAUAUGUAAAACGUAGGCACGACAUGUUUUGUCCGUGUGAAACAUGACACAUAACGUCCAAGCUGAAAUGAAAACGUGUUAGUAGCGUAGAGCACUAAUAGGUAGUGUUUUGAAACCUAAGUUGAACCGGCCGGUUCAACCGGUUAGAUCGCGAACGAAUCACGGCUCCAGUCCUAGCACCUUCCACAUACAUCAUUUUCACACUUUUUUAGGGACAUUUGAGGGGAUGUUGCAGCAGCAUUUUGGGAACUCAAAGACUGUUUUUCUUGAUUCUCUGGCAACAAGGAACAACUAGAAAUAUAGGAGUAAAGACUUAGUUUUCUUGAACAUAUUUCUCUAGUUUUUUUAGUUAGCUUAGUCUUUCAUUUUUCUUGGAGAAUUCUUGGAGAACUCUUGAUGUGCUCAAUAUUUUGAAGACAAUGAAGAUAAUGGAAAUUGAAAACUCUUGUUUCUUCAAUUGAAUGAGUAAUUUUUUC
rnacentral:lncRNA from 1 species